rnacentral:lncRNA from 1 species
AAGGCCAGGGCAUCAUCCAACCUCAACAACCAGCUCAAUUGGAGGCGAUCAGGUCAUUGGUGUUGCAAACUCUUCCAACCAUCUGCAAUGUGUAUGUCCCACCUGAGUGCUCCAACAUCAGGGCACCAUUUGCCAGCAUAGUCGCGGGGAUUGGUGGCCAAUGAAAAAAGCAAGAGCUAUACUAAUAGAUAGAUGGAUCCUCGUUGCUUAGCAGAUGCACCAAUCGAUGUAACGAUGACAAAUAAAGUGGCACGUACCAUCAUGUGUGACCCCGACCAGUGCUAGUUCAAGCUUGGGAAUAAAAGACAAACAAAGUUCUUGUUUGCCAGCAUUGAUUGUCAUUGUUCCAUUCACUGUGUAUUUAGUUGUUCAUCCCUAACCGCAGUUCUAGGCUUACACAUCAAUGGCUAUUUGCUCGUGCCGGCAGGUUCCUAUGUAAUCUACCGACUAAUGGUCGGCCUAUUGACCCAGUUUAUAGGCCGAUUGAUAUAUUAAUUGCUGCUCCCAAACUGACCGACCAGCUAUUAGUUACCAUUUUGCUGAACAUUGCACACAAUAAUAACUCAACAUAUUUUAAUGUCUAGAAGUAAAAGGGCCAUUUUAGCAGCAAAACAAGCGCCUGAUUAGGAACCAUCCAGCACUUUAAAUGUUCACCUAGAUAUUUCUACGUUGAUGCAAUUUUGAGAUUGGUGGCACCGAAACAUUCCUCAAAGCAAUUCUUUAUGGGACUCCAAAGAGGUGAAAAUAAAGUAAAGUUGCCACAUGGUAAAAUAUAAAUCAUGCGGCGAGCAAGAGCAAAUAUUGAGUCAUGAUAGCAAGCGCCAAACAUGCCAUUAAACUCUUCAUAUGGUUCCGUGCAGAGAAGGGGGAAAAUUGUUGGGGAACGUAGUCAUUUCAAAAAAAAUCCUACGCACACGCAAGAUCAUGGUGAUGCAUAGCAAUGAGAGGGGAGAGCAUCGUCCACCUACCCUCGUAGACCGUAAGCGGAAGCGUUAUGACAACGCGGUUGAUGUAGUCGUACAUCUAUAUGAUCGACCGAUCCUAGUACCGAACGUACGGCACCUCCGCAAUCUGCACACGUUCAGCUCGGUGACGUCCCAUGAACUCACGAUCGAGUAGAUCUUCAAGGGAGAGUUCCGUCAGCACGACGGCGUGAUGACGGUGUUGAUGAAGCUACCGACGCAGGGCUUCGCUUAUGCACUACUAUGAUAUGACCGAGGUGGAUUAUGGUGGAGGGGGCACCGCACACGGCUAAAGAUCAAUGAUCAACUUGUGUGUCUUGGGGUGCCCCCUGCCCCCGUAUAUAAAGGAGAAAGGGGGGAGGCGGCCGGCCAAGGAGGAGGGCGCGCCAAGGGGGGAGUCCUACUUAGGACUCCUCUUUCCUAUUAGGAGUAGGAGAAGGGGGAAAGGAAGGAGAGGAGGAGAAGGAAGGACGGGGCACCGCCCCUUCCCCUAGUCCAAUUCAGACUAGGCUUGGGGGGGGGGGCGGCCCAGCCCUAGCCAGCCCCUCUCUCUCCCUCUCUCUCCCUGAAGCCCAUUAACGCCCAUAAGAUCCCCGGGGGGUUCCGGUAACCUCUCGGUACUGUGGUAUUUAUCCGGUGUCCGAAUAUAACCUUCCAAUAUAUCAAUCUUUAUGUCUCGACCAUUUUAAGACUCCUCGUCAUGUCCGUGAUCAUAUCUGGGACUCCGAACUACCUUCGGUACAUCAAAACACAUAAACUCAUAAUACCGAUCGUCACCGAACGUUAAGCGUGCGGACCCUAUGGGUCCGAGAACUAUGUAGACAUGACCGAGACACGUCUCCGGGUUUAACCAAUAGCGGAACCUGGAUGCUCAUAUUGGCUCCUACAUAUGUUGGGGAACGUUGCAUAAAAUAAACUUUUUCCUAUGUUCACCAAGAUCAAUCUAUGAGUUCAUCUAGCAACGAGAGAGGGGAGUGCAUCUACAUACCCUUGUAGAUCACGAGCGGAAGCGUUCAAGAGAACGGGGUUGAGGGAGUCGUACUCGUCGUGAUCCAAAUCACCGGAGAUCCUAGCGCCGAACGAAUGGCACCUCCGCGUUCAACACACGUACGGUUAGCGUGACGUCUCCUCCUUCUUGAUCCAGCAAGGGGGAAGGAGAGGUUGAUGAAGAUCCAGCAGCACGACGACGCGGUGGAGGAUGCAGCAGAGUUCCGGCAGGGCUUCGCCAAGCGACUACGGGAGGAGGAGGUGUAGCAAGGGGGGAGGGAGGCGCCAAGACUUCAGGGUGCAGCUGCCCUCCCCUCCCCCUCCUUUAUAUAGGCCCCCUGGAGGGUGGCGCCGGCCCUGGAGAUGGGAUCUCCCAAGGGGGCGGCGGCUAGGGGGGUGGAGUGCCCCCCAAGGCAAGUGGAGGCGCCCCCCCCCCCCACCCUAGGGUUUCCAACCCUAGGCGCAGGGGGGCCCAAGGGGGUCGCACCAGCCCACCAGGGGCUGGUCCCCUCCCCACUUCAGCCCACGGGGCCCUCCGGGAUAGGUGGCCCCACCCGGUGGACCCCCGGGACCCUUCCGGUGGUCCCGGUACAAUACCGGUGACCCCCGAAACUCUCCCGAUCACCGAAACUGCACUUCCUAUAUAUAAUUCUUUAUCUUCGGACCAUUCCGGAACUCCUCGUGACGUCCGGGAUCUCAUCCGGGACUCCGAACAACUUUCGGUUUGCUGCAUACUCAUAUCUCUACAACCCUAGUGUCACCGAACCUUAAGUGUGUAGACCCUACGGGUUCGGGAGACACAUAGACAUGACCUAGAUGGCUCUCCGGUCAAUAACCAACAGCGGGAUCUGGAUACCCAUGUUGGCUCCCACAUGCUCCUCGAUGAUCUCAUCGGAUGAACCAUGAUGUUGAGGAUUCAAGCAACCCCGUAUUCAAUUCCCUUUGUCAAUCGGUAUUUUACUUGCCUGAGAUUCGAUCAUCGGUAUCCCAAUACCUCGUUCAAUCUCGUUACCGGCAAGUCACUUUACUCGUACCGUAAUGCAUGAUCCUGUGACCAGACACUUGGUCACUUUGAGCUCAUUAUGAUGAUGCACUACCGAGUGGGCCCAGAGAUACCUCUCCGUCAUACGGAGUGACAAAUCCCAGUCUCGAUCCGUGUCAACCCAACAGACACUUUCAGAGAUACCUGUAGUGCACCUUUAUAGUCACCCAGUUACGUUGUGACGUUUGGUACACCCAAAGCACUCCUACGGUAUCCGGGAGUUACACGAUCUCAUGGUCUAAGGAGAAGAUACUUGACAUUGGAAAAGCUCUAGCAAACGAACUACACGAUCUUGUGCUAUGCUUAUGAUUGGGUCUUGUCCAUCACAUCAUUCUCCUAAUGAUGUGAUCCCGUUAUCAAUGACAUCUAAUGUCCAUAGUCAGGAAACCAUGACUAUCUAUUGAUCAACGAGCUAGUCAACUAGAUGCUCACUAGGGACAUAUUAUGGUCUAUGUAUUCACACGUGUAUUACGAUUUCCGGAUAAUACAAUUAUAGCAUGAAUAAAGACAAUUAUCAUGAACAAGGAAAUAUAAUAAUGAUCCUUUUAUUAUUGCCUCUAGGGCAUAUUUCCAAAAGUCUCCCACUUGCACUAGAGUCAAUAAUCUACUUACAUUGUGAUGAAUCGAACACCCAUAGAGUUCUGGUGUUCAUCAUGUUUUGCUUGCGGAAGAGGUUUAGUCAACGGAUCUGCGACAUUCAGAUCCAUAUGUACUUUGCAAAUAUCUAUGUCUCCAUCUUGAACAGUUUCACGGAUGGAGUUGAAACGAUGCUUGACGUGCCUGGUCUUCUUGUGAAACCUGGGCUCCUUGGCAAGGGCAAUAGCUCCAGUGUUGUCACAGAAGAGAGUGAUUGGCCCCGACGCAUUGGGUAUGACUCCUAGGUCGGUGAUGAACUCCUUCAUCCAUAUUGAUUCAUGCGCUGCCUCCGAGGCUGCCAUGUACUCCGCUUCACAUGUAGAUCCCGCCACGACGCUCUGCUUGCAACUGCACCAGCUUACUGCUCCACGAUUCACCAUAUACACGUAUCCGGUUUGUGACUUAGAGUCAUCCACAUCUGUGUCGAAGCUAGCAUCGACGUAACCCUUUAUGACGAGCUCUUCGUCACCUCCAUAAACAAGAAACAUGUCCUUUAUCCUUUUCAGGUACUUCAGGAUAUUCUUGACCGCUAUCCAGUGUUCCUUGCCGGGAUUACUUUGGUACCUUCCUACCAAACUUACGGCAAGGUUUACAUCAGGUCUGGUGCACAGCAUGGCAUACAUAAUAGAUCCUAUGGCUGAGGCAUAGGGGAUGACACUCAUCUCUUCUUUAUCUUCUGCCGUGGUCGGGCAUUGAGCCGAGCUCAACUUCACACCUUGCAAUACAGGCAAGAACCCUUUCUUGGACUGAUCCAUUUUGAACUUCUUCAAUAUCUUAUCAAGGUAUGUGCUUUGUGAAAGACCUAUGAGGCGUCUCGAUCUACCCCUAUAGAUCUUGAUGCCUAAUAUGUAAGCAGCUUCUCCAAGGUCCUUCUUUGAAAAACACUUAUUCAAGUAGGCCUUAAUGCUGUCCAAAAGUUCUAUAUCAUUUCCCAUCAAAAGUAUGUCAUCUACAUAUAAUAUGAGAAAUGCUACAAAGCUCCCACUCACUUCCUUGUAAACGCAGGCUUCUCCAUAAGUCUGCAUAAACCCAAACGCUUUGAUCAUCUCAUCAAAGCGAAUGUUCCAACUCCGAGAUGCUUGCACCAGCCCAUAAAUGGAUCGCUGGAGCUUUCAUACCUUGUUAGCAUUCUUAGGAUCGACAAAACCCUCCGGCUGCAUCAUAUACAGUUCUUCCUUAAGAUGUCCGUUAAGGAAUGCCGUUUUGACGUCCAUCUUCCAUAUCUCAUAAUCAUAGUAUGCGGCAAUUGCUAACAUGAUUCGGACGGACUUCAGCUUCGCUACGGGAGAGAAAGUCUCAUCAUAGUCAACCCCUUGAACUUGUCGAUAACCCUUAGCGACAAGUCAAGCUUUAUAGAUGGUAACAUUACCAUCCGCGUCUGUCUUCUUCUUAAAGAUCCAUUUGUUUUCUAUCGCUCACCGAUCAUCGGGCAAGUCUGUCAAAGUCCAUACUUUGUUUUCAUCCAUGGAUUCUAUCUCCGAUUGCAUGGCUUCAAGCCAUUUGUUGGAAUCUGGGCCUGCCAUCGCUUCUUCAUAGUUCGAAGGUUCACCGUUGUCUAACAACAUGAUUUCCAGGACAGGGUUGCCAUACCACUUUGGUGUGGAACAUGUCCUUGUGGACCUAUGAAGUUCAGUAGCAACUUGAUCCGAAGUACUUUGAUCAUCAUCAUUAAUUUCCUCUCCAGUCGGUGUAGGCACCACAGCAACAUUUUCCUGAGCUGCACUACUUUCCGGUUCAAGAGGUAGUACUUCAUCGAGUUCUACUUUCCUCCCACUUACUCCUUUCGAGAGAAACUCUUUUUCCAGAAAGGAUCCGUUCUUGGCAACAAAGAUCUUGCCCUCGGAUCUUAAGUAGAAGGUAUACCCAAUGGUUUCCUUAGGGUAUCCUAUGAAGACGCAUUUUUCCGACUUGGGUUCGAGCUUUUCAGGUUGAAGUUUCUUGACAUAAGCAUCGCAUCCCCAAACUUUUAGAAACGACAGCUUAGGUUUCUUCCCAAACCAUAAUUCAUACGGUGUCGUCUCAACGGAUUAAGACGGAGCCCUGUUUAAAGUGAAUGUAGCUGUCUCUAGAGCGUAUCCCCAAAAUGAUAACAGUAAAUCGGUAAGAGACAUCAUAGAUCGCACCAUAUCCAAUAGAGUGCGAUUACGAUGUUCGGACACACCGUUACGCUGAGGUGUUCCAGGCGGCGUGAGUUGUGGAAUGAUUCCACAUUUCCUUAAGUGCGUACCAAAUUCGUGACUUAAAUAUUCUCCUCCACGAUCUGAUCGUAGGAACUUUAUCUUUCGGUCACGUUGAUUCUCUACCUCAUUCUGAAAUUCCUUAAACUUUUCAAAGGUCUCAGACUUGUGUUUCAUCAAGUAGACAUACCCAUAUCUACUCAAGUCAUCAGUGAGAGUGAAAACAUAAUGAUAUCCUCCGCGAGCCUCAACGCUCAUUGGACCACACACAUCAGUAUGUAUGAUUUCCAAUAAGUUGGUUGCUCGCUCCAUUGUUCUGGAGAACAGAGUCUUGGUCAUUUUGCCCAUGAGGCAUGGUUCGCAUGUGUCAAAUGAUUCAUAAUCGAGAGACUCUAAAAGUCCAUCAUCAUGGAGCUUCUUCAUGCGCUUGACACCAAUGUGACCAAGGUGGCAGUGCCACACGUAUGUGGGACUAUCGUUACCAACUUUACAUCUUUUGGUAUUCACACUAUGAAUAUGUGUAACAUUACGUUCGAGAUUCAUUAAGAAUAAACCAUUGACCAUCGGGGCAUGACCAUAAAAUAUAUCUCUCAUAUAAAUAGAACAACCAUUAUUCUCGGAUUUAAAUGAGUAGCCAUCUCGUAUUAAACGAGAUCCAGAUACAAUGUUCAUGCUCAAACUUGGCACUAAAUAACAAUUAUUGAGGUUUAAAACUAAUCACGUGGGUAAAUGUAGAGGCAGCGUGCCGACGGCGAUCACAUCGACCUUGGAACCAUUCCCGACGCGCAUCGUCACCUCGUCCUUCGCCAGUCUCCGCUUAUUCCACAGCUCCUACUAUGAGUUACAAAUAUGAGCAAUGGCACCGGUAUCAAAUACCCAGGAGUUACUAUGAGUACUGGUAAGGUACACAUCAAUUACAUGUAUAUCACAUAUACCUUUAGUGUUUUCGGCCUUCUUGUCCGCUAAGUAUUUGGGGCAGUUCCGCUUCCAGUGACCCUUCCCUUUGCAAUAAAAGCACUCAGUCUCAGGCUUGGGUCCAUUCUUUGACUUCUUCCCGGCAACUGGCCUACCGGGUGCGGCAACAUCCUUGUCGUCCUUCUUGAAGUUCUUCUUACCCUUCCCUUCUUGAACUUGGUGGUUUUAUUGACCAUCAACACUUGAUGUUCUUUCUUGAUUUCUACUUCUGUUGACUUUAGCAUUGAAAAUACUUCAGGAAUAGUUUUCACCAUCCCCUGCAUAUUGUAGUUCAUCACAAAGCUCUUGUAGCUUGGUGGGAGCGACUGAAGGAUUCUGUCAGUGACCGCCUUGUCCGGGAGGUUGAUGUCCAGCUGGGACAGGCAGUUGUGCAACCCAGACAUUUUGAGUAUGUGCUCACUGACAGAACUAUUUUCCUCCAUCUUACAACUAUAGAACAUGUCGGAGACUUCAUAUCUUUCGACCCGGGCAUGAGCUUGGAAAACCAGUUUCAGCUCCUUGAACAUCUCAUAUGCUCCGUGUUGGUCAAAAUGCUUUUGGAUCCUCGGUUCUAAGCUGUAAAGCAUGCCGCACUGAACGAGGGAGUAAUCAUCAGCACGUGACUGCCAAGCGUUCAUAAUGUCUUGGUUCUCUGGGAUGGGUGCAUCACCUAGUGGUCCUUCUAGGACAUAUGCUUUCUUAGCAGCUAUGAGGAUGAUCCUCAGGUUCUGGACCUAGUCCGUAUAGUUGCUUCCAUCAUCUUUCAGCUUGCUUUCUCUAGGAACGCGUUGAAGUUCAUGUUGACAUGAGCGUUGGCCAUUUGAUCUACAAGACAUUUUUGCAAAGAUUUUAGACUAAGUUCAUGAUAAUUAAGUUCAUCUAAUCAAAUUAUUUAAUGAACUCCCACUCAGAUUUGACAUCCCUCUAGUCAUCUAAGUGUUACACGAUCCGAGUCGACUAGGCCGUGUUCGAUCAUCACGUGAGACAGACUAGUCAUCAUCGGUGAACAUCUCGAUGUUGAUCGUAUCUUCCAUACGACUCAUGUUCGACCUUUCGGUCUCUGUGUUCCGAGGCCAUGUCUGUACAUGCUAGGCUCGUCAAGUUUAACCUAAGUGUUUUGCAUGUGUAAAACUGUCUUACACCCGUUGUAUGUGAACGUAGGAAUCUAUCACACCGGAUCAUCACGUGGUGCUUCGAAAUGACGAACUUUAGCAACGACGCACAGUUAGGGAGAACACUUUCUUGAAAUUAUUAUAAGGGAUCAUCUUAUUUACUACCGUCGUUCUAAGUAAACAAGAUGCAUAAACAUAAUAAACAUCACAUGCAAUUAUAUAGUAGUGACAUGAUAUGGCCAAUAUCAUAUAGCUCCUUUGAUCUCAAUCUUCGGGGCUCCAUGAUCAUCUUUGUCACCGGCAUGACACCAUGAUCUCCAUCAUCAUGAUCUCCAUCAUCGUGUCUCCAUGAAGUUGCUCGCCAACUAUUACUUCUACCACUAUGGCUAACGGUUUAGCAAUAAAGUAAAGUAAUUACAUGGCGUUAAAUCAUUGACACACAGGUCAUACAAUAAUUAAGACAACUCCUAUGGAUCCUGCCGGUUGUCAUAUUCAUCGACAUGCAAGUCGUGAUUCCUAUUACAAGAACAUGAUCUCAUACAUCACAAUAUAUCAUUCAUCAUUCAUCACAACUUUUGGCCAUAUCACAUCACAAGGCAAUUGCUGCAAAAACAAGUUAGACGUCCUCUAAUAGUUGUUGCAUCUUUUACGUCGCUGCAAUAGGGUUCUAGCAAGAACGUUUUCUUACCUACGAAAAAGCCACAACGUGAUUUGUCAACUUCUAUUUACCCUUCAUAAGGACCCUUUUCAUCGAAUCCGCUCCAACUAAAGUGGGAGAAACAGACACCCGCUAGCCACCUUAUGCAAGUAGUGCAUGUCAGUCGGUGAAACCUGUCUCAUGUAAGCGUACGUGUAAGGUCGGUCCGGGCCGCUUCAUCCCACAAUACCCUGAAGCAAAAUAAGACUAGUAGCGGUAAGAAAGUUGACAACAUCUACGCCCACAACAGAUUUGUGUUCUACUCGUGCAAUAGAGAACUACGCAUAGACCUAGCUCAUGAAGCCACUGUUGGGGAACGUUGCAUAAAAUAAAAAAUUUCCAACGUUCACCAAGAUCAAUCUAUGAGUUCAUCUAGCAACAAGAGAGGGAGUGCAUCUACAUACCCUUGUAGAUCGCGAGUGGAAGCGUACAAGAGAAUGGGGUUGAGGGAGUCAUACUCGUCGUGAUCCAAAUCACCGGAGAUUCUAGCGCCGAACGGACGGCACCUCCGCGUUCAACACACGUAUGGUCAGCGUGACGUCUCCUCCUUCUUUAUCCAGCAAGGGGAAAGGAGAGGUUGAUGAAGAUCCGGCAACACGACGGCGUGGUGGUGGAUGCAGCAGAGUUCCGGCAGGGCUUCGCCUAGUGACUACGGGAGGAGGAGGUGUAGAAAGGGGGGAGGGAGGCGCCAAGACUUCAGGGUGCGGCUGCCCUCCCCUCCCCCUCCUUUAUAUAGGCCCCUUGGGGGGGAGCCGGCCCUGGAGAUGGGAUAUCCAAAGGGGGCGGCGGCCAGGGGGGUGGAGUGCCCCCCAAGGCAAGUGGAGGCGCCCCCCCACCCUAGGGUUUCCAACCAUAGGCGCAGAGGGGGGCCAAGGGGGCACACCAGCCCACCAGGGGCUGGUCCCCUCCCCACUUCAGUCCACGGGGCCCUCCAGGAUAGGUGGCCCCACCCGGUGGACCCCCGGGACCCUUCCGGUGGUCCCGAUACAAUACCGGUGACCCCCGAAACUCUCCCGAUGGCCGAAACUGGACUUCCUAUAUAUAAUUUUAUCUUUGGACCAUUCCGGAACUCCUCGUGACGUCCGGGAUCUCAUCCGGGACUCCGAAAAACUUUCGGUUUGCUGCAUACUCAUAUCUCUACAACCCUAGUGUCACCGAACCUUAAGUGUGUAGACCCUACGGGUUCGGGAGACACGUAGACAUGACCGAGACGGCUCUUCGGUCAAUAACCAACAUCGGGAUCUGGAUACCCAUGUUGGCUCCCACAUGCUCCUCGAUGAUCUCAUCGGAUGAACCAUGAUGUCGAGGAUUCAAGCAACCCCGUAUUCAAUUCCCUUUGUCAAUCGAUAUUUUACUUGCCCGAGAUUCGAUCGUCGGUAUCCCAAUACCUCAUUCAAUCUCGUUACCGGCAAGUCACUUUAAUCGUACCAUAAUGCAUGAUCCCGUGACCAGACACUUGGUCACUUUGAGCUCAUUAUGAUGAUGCACUACCGAGUGGGCCCAGAGAUACCUCUCUGUCAUACGGAGUGACAAAUCCCAGUCUCGAUCCGUGUCAACCCAACAGACACUUUCGGAGAUACCUAUAGUGCACCUUUAUAGUCACCCAGUUACGUUAUGACCUUUGGUACACCCAAAGCUAUCAGGACCCCGACUCAAUGCCACAUCGAUCUAGCAUGUAACACCUCAUAUCACUUUGCGGCCUCACGCACGGUAUUCCCACGGGUGUCGUCUUACCUUUGCCCGGGACCGUUUGCACCUUUUGGCACACGUAUAUGAUAGUGUUGCUGGCAUCCAUAUGGUAAGGAGCCCGGGCUGACAUGGCUAGUCGUAAACCCAAAGUGGCACAGACUUACAGGGACAGGCAUCCAUGACCCAGCAUCGAACGUGUCGGUCAUCAGCAAGUGAAUCCGGGCUUUAGCACCGGGCUAGCAGGACUCCGGUAAACCGUGCUGCAGCGGGCUAACAGGACUCCGGUAUUCAUCGCAUGACAUUUCGCCGAAGGGACAGACACAGGAACGAAGAAGGCACAUGCCGGCCAGCCUAAGUGUUCCGGAGCAGUAGCAAGCUACCAUGGCUCAGUGGAAGCACUAGGAGACAUUUCCCGGUAAGAGAGGCUACUAAGGAUAAACAACUAGAUAGUCAGAUCCCACACAUACCAAGCAUUUCAAUCAUACACACAAUAUGCUCGAUAUGUGCAAAUACAACAAGGCAUCACAACAUGACUCUACAACACAAGUACUUUAUUUAAAGGCUCAGAGAGCCAUACAUAGUAUACACACAAGUACGGGUCACAUGACCCACAUUCAAGUAAUACAAGCAUACAAGCCAACAGCGGAAGUAACUUGUCUGAGUAGAGACAACUAGUAAAAUAAAAGAGGCCUGGGUAAGCCUAGCUAUACUACAUGGUCCUUCACAAGCUCAGGAUCACCACCUGGGCCUCAGUCUACUCAUCGAUGUCAACGUCUACGAAGAACCUGUCAGAAGGGGUUGUAGCAUCUUCUGUAAAAUGUAAAUUAGAGCAACAUGAGUACAAAGGUACUCAGCAAGACUUACAUCAGAUCCUACAUACAUGCACAUUAUCAAGAAGGGUUGGUGGGGUUAUUGCAGCAAGCCAGCUUCGACUCUUGGCUAAGCUAUCCUAUGAGACUCCAACUUGAAAUGGUUUUGCACACACGAGUCCACUACUCACCACUUCAAUACACAACCGAGGAUUCACCUCCGUCUUCCUACGGAAGAGCCAUCCUCGGCACUCACAAUUAUCUUGAGGCUUUUAGUAGUUUCCAUUUACUUGUCUAUGAACUGUUAUAGGCAACACAGAAGUCCUUUACCGCGGACACGGCUAUUCGAAUAGAUCAUUUAUAACCCUGCAGGGGUGUACUUCUUCAUACAUGUUUCCACCACUUAGCAUCUGCACACGACAUGUGCUCGGCAGACUUCAAGCGAAAGCGAAAGCCUAAACACUCAAGUCUCUAGUCCAGGUUUAUCGCCUAUUCAGGUUCCAUCCGCAGGGAGUCCGUCCGAGGUUUCCACAUACGGCCCCGAACGAUGUGUAUAGGGUUCCGUGACACCAAACAGGCGCCCGGUAUACCCGGCCACGUGCCUACCGCAUCACAGCCCACCCCUUCGAUCAGCGUUGCGCACGACCUCCAGCAUACUACAAACACCAGAAACUACUUGCAACUCCUGGACAGAGGACAAGGGUGAUUAAGAAGUCGAGCAGGGUCAUAUUUCAGGGCCCAAUGCAUGGUAGUAGCUGAACCAUGGAUCACAAACACAGAACUCAGUUCCUGAGGACGGCUUCAAUGAGACAAUCCACCAUGUACUCCUACAUGGCCUCUCAUAGCUACCUUUACCAAAUCCUGUUCACACACUUAGCUCACACUCAGUAGAAUAUGUUCACGCACCUCUGAUUCAUCCCCGAUGAAUCAGACCUGACUCAACUCUAAGCAAUAGCAGGCAUGACAAACAAACAUGAAUGAGUAGGCACAACAGGGCUCAAACAACUCCUACUCAUGCUAGUGGGUUUCAUCUAUUUACUGUGGCAAUGAUAGGUCCUGCAGAGGAUAAAGGGGUUCAGCUACCGCAGCAAGUAACAGAUGAAUCAUUGCUGUCCUAAUGCAGUAAAAGAGAGCAGGAGCGAGAGAGUAGGAUUGUAUCGAAAUGAACAAGGGGGUUUUGCUUGCCUGGCACUUCUGAAGAUAGUAUACUUCUUCAUCGGUGUCAGCGAUCACAACGUCGGUACAACGUCUACCGAGGGGGAACAACACUGGCAAACAGAGAAGAAACACGAUCAAUGCAAUGCACAAUAUGAUGCCUGCUAUGACAUGGCAAUAUGAAUGUGUUUUGGGCUAAUGCAAGCUAGAACAGAUUGAGAUGAGUCCAUUUGAACCAAAGAUUCAAAUGCAAACCCAUUUUAAGAGGUCAUAAUAGUGUAUUAACUUGUUUCACCUAAACAGCAAGGUUAAUGUGUUCUAACAUGCAUGAAACCAGUGCAGAUGGAUAGAUUGGAUUUUUUUGAUCAUUUUUCAUAUAUAAAUUAUUUCAUUCUAAGUUACGGUUAAAUUUCUAUGAAUUUUAGAAGUUUAGAGCAUUUUCUGGAAUUUCCUGUAUAAAAAUAAAUCUAGAAAAUACUUAUUGCGUCAGCAUUGCGUCACUCUGACGUCAGCAGUCAACGAGGCCGGUCCAGGUCAAACCUGACGUGUGGGGUCCACACAUCAGUGACACGGUUAACCAACAGGGUUAAUUAAAAUUAAACUAAACCUAAUCUAGUUUAGUUAAGGCCUGGGCCCACAUGUCAGAGGCUAACCUAACUAACUAAGUUAAUUACCGCUCAUUAAUCUAUCGCUUAAUUAAGCAGGGGCCUGGCCCACACGUCAAUGAGUCAGGGGGAAGUCAAACCCCGGUCAAACCCGCCGGACCUGGUCCACGGCUCGUCGCCGGCGACGACAGAGACAACGAGGCGGCUCGGGAAUGCUCUACAGGGCACCGUUUUACUCGUGGUUUGCGGCUACGGCUAGCUAGCAAUGCGGCGCAUCUAAUGGAGCGAAUGGGUGGAGCUGGGGUGGCCUGAGCCGACGGCGGCGAGCUCCAAGGCGGCGGCCGGAGUUCGGGCAAUGACGGGUUUGGCGCCACAGUGCAUGGGAGGAGGAGCUGGUGGGCGCUACGGGCUCUUGGGGGUGCACUGGGUGUAGUGACGCGCUCGGUUUGGACGGAGGUGAACUAAAAUGACGACAGCGACAAGUCUGGCACCAGUGAGGUUUCGGUCUCGACGGAAACGAGGGCUACGAUGAGCUAAUGGACAUGUGAGUAGGGGGGUCAGUAAAGGAGCUUACGGCGAGUGCAGAGGUGGCCUCGGCGUGCUCGGGGAAGCACUGGAGCGAGCGGUGCGGCGAGAGGGAUCUCCGGCGGCCGGUGACGAAGAUGAUCAAGAUGGCGUCAAUCCAGGGCCUCCGGCGAUGCGUGGCUAGACGGAGAGGACGAGGGAGGCGUGGCGAUGCUCGUGGACACGUCGGAGAGGCUCGGGGUUGGCUGCGGCUGCGGCUAUGGCGAACGGCGGCGGCGGUGGCGUUCGGUGGUGAGAGGGAGAGAGAGUAGAGGAGGGGGAGGAGCAUGGGGAGAGUGAGAGAGAGCCACAGGGGUUGCGUGUCGACGUCCAUGGCAUCCAGAGGGACGUCGGGAGGCGGUGGAAAGCUGGAGGUGGCCGAGGGGCGUGGGCGUGAAUGGCGGCCACACGCCUCUCAUCCUACUGGCGAGAGGUGGGAGAUGACUGGCAGAUGGGCCUGGUGGGCUGCUACAGUGCCAGGCCGGCCAGGUAAGCGCCAGGUAUUCUCUCUCUCUCUCUCUUUUGUUAAUGUUUUUCUAUUUUUCUGUAACUUCAGGGCUUUAUUAAAAAUGCCAGGGCAUUUCCAAAAAUCAUGAAACUAAUCAUGGCUACUGUUUAGAAUAUAUCCAACAGUAAACAUUUUAGUUUAUGAUUAUUUGAGCAUUUAAAAUAUUUUAUAGCACUUAAAUGCCCAAAUGCAAAUACUAUAGGAUUUAAUUUAGAAAUCCAGAAUGGCCUAGAAAUAUGUGCAUGACAUUUGGCAGAGGUUUUCACCUUUGACCGAAAUCAUGAACUUUUCUAAAGGGCAUUUGGGAUCACUAAAAAUAUUAUUUUUUUGAACCUAGUUGAAUUCAUUUGGUGCUAGGGUUUCAACAAUCCCCAUUUCAAGUUUCAUGAAAUUUAAACAUGAUGCAUGGAUGCAAAGUCACUAGUUACGAGCAAACUCUAGGGCUGUGAUAACUCACCCCCACUAAACAAGAAUCUCGUCUUGAGAUUCAAGACGUGAGGUAAGAAGACAAAGGGGGCACAAAACCAACACAAUCUUCAUGAUCCAGGUUGCACCUCAUAAGGUUGUUGAUUCGUUGCAUACAUUGAUCUUGACAUCCUCGCUUUUGAGAUCUUCAUCCAUGCGAUGACGACGGAAAGGAACUCUACUAGGAUUGAUCUUCUCAAAGACCGAAUUAUACAAUCUCAACUCGCGGAGUGAGAUGUUGAAACACCUUGAGUUGAGACACAAAACACAUCGAGAGGGAUGGAAGAACAAACGACGGGGUUUGAUUUGGUGGGAAACAAUUCCACGCUUAGAAAGAUGGUGGAUGGUGUCAAGGUGGCGAGGAAAUAAUUGCCAUGAUCCCGUAACGGGGCACCUUAGGGAAGGUGACUCGUAGGUUUGUUACCUUAAGUGGCAAAAGGAAUUAUUUUUGAUUCAGAGAUCAUUGAAACUCUUUAUACCAGCCUAAGGCAAUUCACAACAAUCGUUUGGCAGAGUACAAAGGGAUGGCAUACCCGGACUAGAAUGGAUGAUGUGGACUACCUUGUUGAAGACAACGUAAUGAAUGCUUUUUGCUUAUCAUCGGAGGUGGAGGGGACCCAUGGUAGGACCACUUCUAAAGAUGAUCCUGAACAACAAUUGCUGAGAAGGGCAGUCCAAGGAGGAUUGGCACAAGGCGGUGCAAGCUGGGAACGAAAUGCAAAUGUCGGGAAUGUUCCAACCAUCAUAUCUGCCUGAGAUUCAGAUUUGGUUGGUGUUAGGACAUUCCAGACUCAUCAAGUCUAGGAAGAAAAAUGAAAGUUUGCAACACAAAUCGAUGAGAUGACGUCGCGAGAUUCUCGGGAGAUAAACUACGAUAGCAAGCUCCAAAACAUGAGCUGGUUCUGCUAAACAUGUGUGAACACGCUGUCCCAGACAAACAUGACCACAUAGUAGUCUUAAUAUAAAACACUACCGAGUUCAGGUGGGGAACCAUCAUUGCGGAUAACGAAGUCCUUGCAUAAGUCAUGAUUCUUAAGAAGGAGCUUCUUCUCCCUGAACAAAUCAAUCAGUGGCUUGGUGUGCUAGGGAUACGUAAGCAAUGAAGAUGAUCAGUCUAUCAGACCAUAGAAUACUUCGCACAUGCAUGACUGACUUGGGAUGAUCCCGGAGGGAACAAAACUAACUUUCUCAAAUUCACGGCGGCAACUUGCACCUAAUGCGCGUGAACUUGGAGAGAGUCACUUCUUACAUCCAAGCAUAUUCUUCAUGAACGAAACACGAAGAUAAUGCUUAUAUAGUUUCCAAUACUAGCUGAAGGUUCAACACGAAUCAUGGAAGAGAUAAAAAUGUUGCUGAUGGGCUCAACAACAAUUCAUCUAGGUUUCCAUAUAAGUGGAAUUCCACAAUUAUGUGAACAAGGCGAUAGCAUCGGUCAGACCAAAGGAUAUAACGGUGUAUGCCCGAGGAAACAACCACGGGUAAGACAACAUUACGAAUAUCGUUGGUUCUGAUUUGACUUGACAAUAGCCCAUGCUCAAAUCAGAGAUUGGUUACGAUAAUAGAUCCAACAACUGAUCACAGGGACCAAUCGAUGAAGAUAUCAUCUUUCUUCAACAUACAUACAAGAUAUCACUUAACAUGAACUAAGUCGGACAAGCUUUUAUCUUCCAACUCUCCAAGUUGAUGUAUAGCUUAACCAACUAGCUCAGGGGUAUCCAACACGGAUUCUUGGAGAAAGGGUGGUUUACAAGAAUAAACCAACUUGAUCAUGAACUCAACAUAGCGGUCAGGUGACGACCUAGUGAUACUUCCGAGAAGAUAAUCAGAAAAUCAGGAACCACCGGUAUGUUACUAAGCUCGAGAGAAAUCUUGCUUUUCAGGGCAAGACGAUAUGAUCAAAUGAGCAAGGGAUUGACAAAAUCCUAACUCAACGACCGAAGAGUGCACCGGAAAUAGGGACUAGAUAGCACAAUCAACCUUAGGGUGACGAUUCAAUAAUCAACACGCUAAGAAUGAGGUUAGCGUCCAUUUAACUACCAAGCAACGGAGUUGCUAGCAGUAUUGAUUUCACACACCAUGAUUCACUUGUCAGUAUUCCGGUUGCAACAACACGGAACCGAGGAGCGAAUGAUGAUGGCAAGAAGUAUCACUACUUCAAGAAUCCAUAAGGGAAGGUGCAAUUCUCAUGACGUUCCUGACAUAAAGUGGGUAAUACUUCAGGGUAGAACAGAACAAAAGCUGAAUUAGUAUUUGAUCUGCGAUUUACAACUGCUUUGACCCGAUCCUGGAUAUGGAUGAGGUACGGGAGUUUGUUUCUCCUAGUCAUUCUAGAAUAGAAUGGCUUGACAUACCACUAGAGUAAUAGGCAUCAAUGAACGAAUGCACGCAUACUCUUGACUAUCAAUUGAUAGAUGGGGUCGGAAUACAACUAAGGAGGGACAACCCAAACGAACUUACGAUCUUCUGAGUUGUGGAUGCACAUAUUAGUAUGUCGAGCAAAGAUCAACAUUUUUCUUCCGGAUAACCCAUGCGGAGAAGGUAGGACUGGCAGAUUCACAAUAUAGAAUCGAGAACGCAUCAAGAGCACUCUGGUUGUGAUCUUUCGGUUAAACGAGGAACUUCUGCCAUAAGUAGUUCAUGGUAUUUGGAAGAAGGAAAUACCACGGACCUCGAGGACUAAUGCAAAGGUUACUAAUUUCCUAAAGGAACUAGCAAACACUAUCAUCAUGAGUAAGUGGGGUGAAUCUCGGUUCAAGAACCCAGGAAUAGAAUACCUACUACUAAGUGGCAUCACGGGAUGCUUUCGAGAAUAAAGGCCAGAAUUAUCACACCGGGAACAAAUCAUGGCUAGAUUACUAGAUGAUCCCCUAGGACACCUAGGGUCAUAAUAAUAAUUCCAACAUAUAUGUCGAGGCAAUAGAAUACUUCAACUCAGCAAUUAGUGUGAUUAACCUGGCUCAAAGGAACAUCAAAACCAGAGGGAAAUGAUUUGCAAGUGCAUCAGAUUGUUUAGAAACCUGGGAUGACUCGGACAACAUAACGGCUGUAAAUGCUCAAAAGGAAUUUUGAGACAUUUUGCAAAGAGUUGCAUAGACACUCAACAAUAUCAUAUCAAGGUUCUGGGUCCAACUUAGCAACAUAAUAGGGUAGUAGAACUGAACUAGGCUUAUAAUCAUCAAACCAAUAAGGUACUACUGAUUAGUAACACGUGAACCUGAUAGAGAGAAAAGAUCCUAAUCCUUAACCCCCGGUGGAAGAAUGGACUGACUCAGAUCAGAAUGCCAUGAGGUAAAGAAGUAAAAAGAGCCUUACGUACCAUCCCACAAUCAAUUCCCCUACAUAUAACUAAAGCAUUUCUAGACUCAACAUCGACCAGUUUGGCUUGGUAAUCCUACAGGCAGUCAGGCUCUUAUACCAAAGCUGUCAGGUCCUGAACGAUGUGUACAGGGUUCCGUGACACCAAACGGGCGCCCGGUAUACCCGGCCACGUGCCUACCGCAUCACAGCCCACCCCUCCGGUCAGCGUUGCGCACGGCCUCCAGCAUACUACAAACACCAGAAACUACUUGCAACUCCUGGACAGAGGACAAGGGUGAUUAAGAAGUCGAGCGGGGUCAUAUUUCAGGGCCCAAUGCAUGGUAGUAGCUGAAUCAUGGAUCACAAACACAUAACUCAGUUCCUGAGGGCGGCUUCAAUGAGACAACCCACCAUGUACUCCUACAUGGACUCUCACCGCUACCUUUACCAAAUCGUGUUCACACACUUAGCUCACACUCAGUAGAAUAUGUUCACGCACCUCUGAUUCAUCCCCGGUGAAUCCGACUUAACUCAACUCUAAGCAAUAGCAGGCAUGACAAACAAACAUGAAUGAGUAGGCACAACAGGGCUCAAACAACUCCUACUCAUGCUAGUGGGUUUCAUCAAUUUACUAUGGCAAUGACAGGUCAUGCAGAGGAUAAAGGGGUUCAGCUACCGCAGCAAGUAAUAGAUGAAUCGUUGUUGUCCUAAUGCAGUGAAAGAGAACAGGAGCGAUAGAGUAGCAUUGUAUCGGAAUGAACAAGGGGGUUUUGCUUGCCUAGCACUUCUGAAGAUAGUAUACUUCUUCAUCGGUGUCAUCGAUCACAACAUCGGUACAACGUCUACCGAGGGGGAACAACACCGGCAAACAGAGAAGCAACAUGAUCAAUGCAAUGCACAAUAUGAUGCAUGCUAUGACAUGGCAAUAUGAAUGUGUUUUGGGCUAAUGCAAGCUAGAACAGAUUGAGAUGAGUCCAUUUGAACCAAAGAUUCAAAUGCAAACCCAUUUUAAGAGGUCAUAAUAGUGUAUUAACUUGUUUCACCUAAACAGCAAGGUUAAUGUGUUCUAACAUGCAUGAAACCAGUGCAGAUGGAUAGAUUGGAUUUGUUUGAUCAUUUUUCAUAUAUAAAUUAUUUCAUUCUGAGUUACGGUUAAAUUUCUAUGAAUUUUAGAAGUUUAGAGCAUUUUCUGGAAUUUCCUGUAUAAAAAUAAAUCCAGAAAAUACUUAUUGCGUCAGCAUUGCAUCGCUCUGACGUCAACAGUGAACGAGGCCAGUCCAGGUCAAACCUGACGUGUGGGGUCCACACGUCAGUGACACGGUUAACCAACAGGGUUAAUUAAAAUUAAACUAAACCUAAUCUAGUUUAGUUAAGGCCUGGGCCAACAUGUCAGAGGCUAACCUAACUAAGUUAAUUACAGCUAAUUAAUCUAUCGCUUAAUUAAGCAGGGGCCUGGCCCACACGUCAGUGAGUCAGGGGGAAGUCAAACCCCGGUCAAACGGGGUCAAACCCGCCGGACCUGGUCCACGGCUCAUCGCCGGCGACGACAGAGACGAUGGGGCGGCUCGUGAAUGCUCUACAGGGCACCGUUUUACUCAUGGUUUGUGGCUACGGCUAGCUAGCAAUGCGGCGCAUCUAAUUGAGCGAACGGGAGGAGCUAGGGUGUCCUGAGCCGACGGCGGCGAGCUCCAAGGCGGCGGCCGGAGUUCGGGCAACGACGGGUUCGGUGCCAUAGUGCAUGGGAGGAGGAGCCGGUGGGCGCUACGGGCUCCUGGGGGUGCACUGGGUGUAGUGACGCGCUCGGUUUGGACGGAGGCGAACUAAAAUGACGACGGCAACAAGUCCGGCGCCGGUGAGGUUUCGGUCUCGACGGAAACGAGGGCUACGAUGAGCUAAUGGACAUGUGAGUAGGGGGGUUAGUAGAGGAGCUUACGACGAGUGCAUAGGUGGCCUAGGCGUGCUCGGGGAAGCACCGGAGCGAGCGGUGCAGCGAGAGGGAUCUCCGGCAGCCGGCGACGAAGAUGAUGAAGAUGGCGUCGAUCCAGGGCCUCCGGCGAUGCGUUGCUGUGCGGAGAGGACUAGGGAGGCGUGGCGAUGCUCGUGGACACGUCGGAGAGGCUCGGAGUUGGCUGCGGCUGCGGCUAUGGCGAACGGCGGCGGCGGUGGCGUUCGGUGGUGAGAGGGAGAGAGAGUAGAGGAGGGGGAGGAGCAUGGGGAGAGUGAGAGAGAGCCACAGGGGUUGCGUGUCGACGUCCAGGGCAUCCAGAGCGACGUCGGGAGGCGGUGGAAAGCUGGAGGUGGCCGAGGCGCGUGGGCGUGAAUGGCGGCCACACGCCUCUCGUCCUACUGGCGAGAGGUGGGAGAUGACUGGCAGAUGGGCCUGGUGGGCUGCUACAGUGCCAGGCCGGCCAGGUAAGCGCCAGAUAUUCUCUCUCUCUCUUUUGUUAAUGUUUUUUUAUUUUUCUGUAACUUCAGGGCUUUAUUAAGAAUGCCAGGGCAUUUCCAAAAAUCAUGAAACUAAUCAUGGCUACUGUUUAGAAUAUAUCCAACAGUAAACAUUUUAGUUUAUGAUUAUUUGAGCAUUUAAAAUAUUUUAUAGCACUUAAAUGCCCAAAUGCAAAUACUAUAGGAUUUAAUUUAGAAAUCCAGAAUGGCCUAGAAAUAUGUGCAUGACAUUUGGCAGAGGUUUUCACCGUUGACAGAAAUCAUGAAAUUUUCUAAAGGGCAUUUGGGAUCACUGAAAAUAUAUAUUUUUUGAACCUAGUUGAAUUCAUUUGGUGCUAGGGUUUCAACAAUCCCCAUUUCAAGUUUCAUGAAAUUUAAACAUGAUGCAUGGAUGCAAAGCCACUAGUUACAAGCAAACUCUGGGGCUAUGACAAAAGCACUCCUACGGUAUCGGUAUCCGGGAGUUACACGAUCUCAUGGUCUAAGGAGAAGAUACUUGACACUGGAAAAGCUCUAGCAAACGAACUACACGAUCUUGUGCUAUGCUUAGGAUUGGGUCUUGUCCAUCACAUCAUUUUCCUAAUGAUGUGAUCCCGUUAUCAACGACAUCUAAUGUCCAUAGUCAGGAAACCAUGACUAUCUGUUGAUCAACGAGCUAGUCAACUAGAGGCUCACUAGGGACAUAUUAUGGUCUAUGUAUUCACACGUGUAUUACGAUUUCCGGAUAAUACAAUUAUAGCAUGAAUAAAGACAAUUAUCAUGAACAAGGAAAUAUAAUAAUAAUCCUUUUAUUAUUGCCUCUAGGGCAUAUUUCCAACAACAUAUUCUACGAAGAUCUUUAUCGGUCAAACCACAUAACAACAUAGGUUCUUCCCUUUGUCAUCGGUAUGUUACUUGCCUGAGAUUCGAUCGUCGGUAUCUCAAUACCUAGUUCAAUCUCGUUACCGGCAAGUAUGUUUACUCAUUCCAUAAUGCAUGAUCCCGCAACUAACUCAUUAGUCACAUUGCUUGCAAGGCUUAUAGUGAUGUGCAUUACCGAGAGGGCCCAGUGAUACCUCUCCGACAAUCGGAGUGACAAAUCCUAACCUCGAUCUAUGCCAACUCAACAAGUACCAUCGGAGACACCUGUAGAGCACCUUUAUAAUCCCCCAGUUACGUUGUGACGUUUGGUAGCACACAAAGUGUUCCUCUGGUAUUUGGGAGUUGCAUAAUCUCAUAGUCAUAGGAACACGUAUAAGUCAUGAAGAAAGCAAUAGCAACAAACUAAACGAUCAAGUGCUAAGCUAACGAAAUGGGUCAAGUCAAUCACAUCAUUCUCUAAUGAUGUGAUCCCGUUAAUCAAAUGACAACUGUCUAUGGUUAGGAAACACAACCAUCUUUGAUUCAACGAGCUAGUCAAGUAGAGGCAUACUAGUGACACUUUGUUUGUCUAUGUAUUCACACAUGUACUAAGUUUCCGGUUAGUACUAUUCUAGCAUGAAUAAUAAACAUUUAUCAUGAUAUAUGGAAAUAUAAAUAACAACUUUAUUAUUGCCUCUAGGGCAUAUUUCCUUCAAAAUUUAGAGAUGACAAACAAAGCUUAAGUAGCAUCUGUUCUACUUGAUUGUAGAAAUUUCUUUUACCUGUAGAAUAACUCGGUUGUUAUUUCUUUAAACAUGAAGUGUGAUAUUAACUUAUCUCAAUCUAGGAACACAAAGCAAAUAUUACAUGUGCUUCUAUGGACUCCAAGCAGAUGAGAAAUCAUUUUGUCUAGAAGUUCCUUAGAAGGAUAUAAUAGUUUUGACCUAAACAAAUUUACUAUUGUACUCGUGUCUUACAAAGUUAAAGCUGAAAAUCAACAUAACCAUUGGACCCUUUGAAAGACAAGUGUAGGAAAUAAAUAGUAGGAUAUAAAUUUGAGCAGAAUGUUUGAUCAAAUACUGAACAAAUAACCCAGCAAACUACUAAAACUCGUCUAUUCUACCUUAUAUGAACUGUCACGAUGAUAAAGCUAUGAUUUUUUUUGGCAAAUAAGUAUCCUAGAACUAAUACAAGUUCAAACAAAUCAGCCACAGAUCCCCGAGCCCAUCCAACCAGAUAGCUGAAACUGAAAGAAGCAUUAGCUCGAUUAGAGCACCUACAGCGGAACUUGACAAAUUUGACCCCUGAAACGCCCGCGGACACGCGUGUUAGUAGACAUAAACCAAUCUUUAAGCAGAGCACGUCCGGCAGUCGGAUGCUCCCCAAAGUGUUGGUCCAGUCGCCGGCAAGGUAGAGUAGGGCAUGGGAUACAAGGCGGCUCACGGGACUCGAGGCGCCACCGUCCCCCAUUCCCAACUCUUCUCAGUCGGAACCCGGACAGUGCCGGUGGACGUCAGAUCGAUGAUGGAUCCUUCCUGGGACGAGCCAGCAACAUCCACCACCACGUGGUUGUGCAGCCCGAACUAGUGCACAAUAUGGGGAGCCGGAAAAUACGACUCCGCCUCCGCAACGCCCACCACCGCGAGGGCUGUCGCUGCCUCCCGCACCCGCUGCAUUGCAUGGCAGGAGCGCCGAACUAUGUUUUGCAUCGGGCGACGCCCAUGGUGCGUCCAUGGCCUCAGUGCGCCAAUGGAGGGGCUGCGCGUCCGCCACCCAUUCAAACGCCAGAUGGACCGCACCACCUUUGUGUUGGAAAUAUGCCCUAGAGGAAAUAAUAAAAGGAUUAUUAUUGUAUUUCCUUGUUCAUGAUAAUUAUCUUUAUUCAUGCUAUAAUUGUAUUAUCCAGAAAUCGUAAUAGACGUGUGAAUACAUAGACCAUAAUAUGUCCCUAGUGAGCCUCUAGUUGACUAGCUCGUUGAUCAACAGAUAGUCAUGGUUUCCUGACUAUGGACAUUAGAUGUCGUUGAUAAUGGGAUCACAUCAUUAAGAUAAUGAUGUGAUGGACAAGACCCAAUCCUAAGCAUAGCACAAGAUCGUGUAGUUCGUUUGCUAGAGCUUUUCCAAUGUCAAGUAUCUUCUCCUUAGACCAUGAGAUCGUGUAACUCCCGGAUACCGUAGGAGUCCUUUGGGUGUACCAAACGUCACAACGUAACUGGGUGACUAUAAAGGUGCACUACAGGUAUCUCCGAAAGUGUUUGUUGGGUUGACACCGAUCGAGACUGGGAUUUGUCACUCCGUAUGACGGAGAGGUAUCGCUGGGCCCACUCGGUAGUGCAUCAUCAUAAUGAGCUCAAAGUGACCAAGUGUCUGGUCACGGGAUCAUGCAUUACGGUACGAGUAAAGUGAAUUGCCGGUAACGAGAUUGAACGAGGUAUUGGGAUACCGACGAUCGAAUCUCGGGCAAUUAAAAUACCGAUUGACAAAGGGAAUUGAAUACGUGGUUGCUUGAAUCCUCGACAUCGUGGUUCAUCCGAUGAGAUCAUCGAGGAGCAUGUGGGAGCCAACAUGGGUAUCCAGAUCCCGCCGUUGGUUAUUGACUGGAGAGCCGUCUCAGUCAUGUCUACGUGUCUCCCGAAUCCGUAGGGUCUACACACUUAAGGUUCGGUGACGCUAGGGUUGUAGAGAUAUGAGUAUGCAGCAAACCGAAAGUUGUUCGGAGUCCCGGAUGAGAUCCCGGACAUCACGAGGAGUUCCGAAUGGUCCGGAGAUAAAGAAUUAUAUAUAGGAAGUGCAUUUUCAGCGAUCGGGAGAGUUUCGGGGGUCACCGGUAUUGUACCGGGACCACCGGAAGGGUCCCGGGGGUCCACUGGGUGGGGCCACCUAUCCCGGAGGGCCCCGUGGGCUGAAGUGGGGAGGGGACCAGCCCAUAGUGGGCUGGUGCGACCCCCUUGCCCCACCUACGCCUAGGGUUGGAAACCCUAGGGUGGGGGGCGCCUCCACUUGCCUUGGGGGGCACUCCACCCCCCUGGCCGCCGCCCCCUUGGGAGAUCCCAUCUCCAGGGCCGGCGCCCCCCCAGGGGGCCUAUAUAAAGGAGGGGGAGGGGAGGGCAGCCGCACCCUGAAGUCUUGGCGCCUCCCUCCCCCCUUGCUACACCUCCUCCUCCCGUAGUCGCUUGGCGAAGCCCUGCCGGAACUCUGCUGUAUCCACCACCACGCCGUCGUGCUGCUGGAUCUUCAUCAACCUCUCCUUCCCCCUUGCUGGAUCAAGAAGGAGGAGACGUCACGCUGACCGUACGUGCGUUGAACGCGGAGGUGCCGUCCGUUCGACGCUAGGAUCUCUGGUGAUUUGGAUCACGACGAGUACGACUCCCUCAACCCCGUUCUCUUGAACGCUUCCGCUCGCGAUCUACAAGGGUAUGUAGAUGCACUCCCCUCUCUCGUUGCUAGAUGAACUCAUAGAUUGAUCUUGGUGAACGUAGGAAAUUUUUUAUUUUAUGCAACGUUCCCCAACAGUGGCAUCAUGAGCUAGGUCUAUGCGUAGUUCUCUAUUGCACGAGUAGAACACAAAUCUGUUGUGGGCGUAGAUGUUGUCAACUUUCUUGCCACUACUAGUCUUAUUUUGCUUCAGCGGUAUUGUGGGAUGAAGUGGCCCGGACCGACCUUACACGUACGCUUACGUGACACAGGUUCCACCGACUGACAUGCACUAGUUGCAUAAGGUGGCUAGCGGGUGUCUGUCUCUCCCACUUUAGUUGGAGCGGAUUCGAUGAAAAGGGUCCUUAUGAAGGGUAAAUAGAAGUUGACAACUCACGUUGUGGCUUUUUUGUUGGUAAGAAAACAUUCUUGCUAGAACCCUAUUGCAGCCACGUAAAAGAUGCAACAACAAUUAGAGGACGUCUAACUUGUUUUUGAAGCAAUUGCCUUGUGAUGUGAUAUGGCCAAAAGUUGUGAUGAAUGAUGAAUGAUAUAUUGUGAUGUAUGAGAUCAUGUUCUUGUAAUAGGAAUCACGACUUGCAUGUCGAUGAGUAUGAAAACCGGCAGGAGCCAUAGGAGUGGUCUUAAUUAUUGUAUGACCUGCGUGUCAAUGAUUUAACGCCAUGUAAUUACUUUACUUUAUUGCUAAACCGUUAGCCAUAGUAGUAGAAGUAAUAGUUGGCGAGCAACUUCAUGGAGGCACGAUGAUGGAGAUCAUGAUGAUGGAGAUCAUGGUGUCAUGCCGGUGACAAAGAUGAUCAUGGAGCCCCGAAGAUGGAGAUCAAAGGAGCUAUAUGAUAUUGGCCAUAUCAUGUCACUACUAUAUAAUUGCAUGUGAUGUUUAUUAUGUUUAUGCAUCUUCUUUACUUAGAACGACUGUAGUAAAUAAGAUGAUCCCUUAUAAUAAUUUCAAGAAAGUGUUCUCCCUAACUGUGCGUCGUUGCUAAAGUUCGUCGUUUCGAAGCACCACGUGAUGAUCGGGUGUGAUAGAUUCCUACGUUCACAUACAACGGGUGUAAGACAGUUUUACACAUGCAAAACACUUAGGUUAAACUUGACGAGCCUAGCAUGUAUAUACAUGGCCUCAGAACACAGAGACCGAAAGGUCGAACAUGAGUCAUAUGGAAGAUACGAUCAACAUGGAGAUGUUCACCAAUGAUGACUAGUCCGUCUCACGUGAUGAUCGGACACGUCCUAGUCGACUCGGAUCGUGUAACACUUAGAUGACUAGAGGGAUGUCAAAUCUGAGUGGGAGUUCACUAAAUUAGAUGAACUUAAUUAUCAUGAACUUAGUCUAAAAUCUUUGCAAAAAUGUCUUGUAGAUCAAAUGGCCAACGCUCAUGUCAACAUGAACUUCAACGAGUUCCUAGAGAAAACCAAGCUGAAAGAUGAUGGCAGCAACUAUAUGGACUGGGUCCAGAACCUGAGGAUCAUCCUCAUAGCUUCCAAGAAAGCAUAUGUCCUAGAAGGACCACUAGGUGAUGCACCCAUCCCAGAGAACCAAGAUGUUAUGAACGCUUGGCAGUCACGUGCUGAUGAUUACUCCCUCGUUCAGUGCGGCAUGCUUUACAGCUUAGAACCGGGUCUCCAAAAGCGUUUUGAGAAACACGGAGCAUAUGAAAUGUUCGAGGAGCUGAAAAUGGUUUUCCAAGCUCAUGCCCGGGUCGAGAGAUAUGAAGUCUCCGACAUGUUCUAUAGUUGUAAGAUGGAGGAAAAUAGUUCUGUCAGUGAGCACAUACUCAAAAUGUCUGGGUUGCACAACUGCCUAACCCAGCUGGACAUCAACCUCCCGGACGAGGCGGUCAUUGACAGAAUCCUUCAGUCGCUCCCACCAAGCUACAAGAGAUUUGUGAUGAACUACAAUAUGCAGGGGAUGGUGAAAACUAUUCCUGAAGUAUUUUCAAUACUGAAGUCUGCAGAGGUAGAAAUCAAGAAAGAACAUCAAGUGUUGAUGGUCAAUAAAACCACCAAGUUCAAGAAGGGCAAGGGUAAGAAAAACUUCAAGACGGACGGCAAGGAUGUUGCCGCACCCGGUAGGCCAGUUGCCGGGAAGAAGUCAAAGAAUGGACCCAAGCCUGAGACUGAGUGCUUUUAUUGCAAAAGGAAGGGUCACUGGAAGCGGAACUGCCCCAAAUAGUUAGCGGACAAGAAGGCCGGCAACACUAAAGGUAUAUGUGAUAUACAUGUAAUUGAUGUGUACCUUACCAGUACUCGUAGUAACUCCUGGGUAUUUGAUACCGGUGCCGUUGCUCAUAUUUGUAACUCACAGUAGGAGCUGCGGAAUAAGCGGAGACUGGCGAAGGACGAGGUGACGAUGCGCGUCGGGAAUGGUUCCAAGGUCGAUGUGAUUGCCGUCGGCACGCUGCCUCUACAUUUACCCACGGGAUUAGUUUUAAACCUCAAUAAUUGUUAUUUAGUGCCAAGUUUGAGCAUGAACAUUGUAUCUGGAUCUCGUUUAAUACGAGAUGGCUACUCAUUUAAAUCCGAGAAUAAUGGUUGUUCUAUUUAUAUGAGAGAUAUGUUUUAUGGUCAUGCCCCGAUGGUCAAUGGUUUAUUCUUAAUGAAUCUCGAACGUAAUGUUACACAUAUUCAUAGUGUGAAUACCAAAAGAUGUAAAGUUGAUAACGAUAGUCCCACAUACUUGUGGCACUGCCGCCUUGGUCAUAUUGGUGUCAAGCGCAUGAAGAAGCUCCAUGAUGAUGGACUUUUAGAGUCUGUCGAUUAUGAAUCAUUUGACACAUGCGAACCAUGCCUCAUGGGCAAAAUGACCAAGACUCCGUUCUCCGGAACAAUGGAGCGAGCAACCAACUUAUUGGAAAUCAUACAUACUGAUGUGUGUGGUCCAAUGAGCGUUGAGGCUCGCGGAGGAUAUCAUUAUGUUCUCACUCUCACUGAUGACUUGAGUAGAUAUGGGUAUGUCUACUUGAUGAAACACAAGUCUGAGACCUUUGAAAAGUUCAAGGAAUUUCAGAAUGAGGUAGAGAAUCAACAUGACCGAAAGAUAAAGUUCCUACGAUCAGAUCGUGGAGGAGAAUAUUUAAGUCACGAAUUUGGUACGCACUUAAGGAAAUGUGGAAUCAUUCCACAACUCACGCCGCCUGGAACACCUCAGCGUAACGGUGUGUCCGAAUGUCGUAAUCGCACUCUAUUGGAUAUGGUGCGAUCUAUGAUGUCUCCUACCGAUUUACUGCUAUCAUUUUGGGGAUACGCUCUAGAGACAGCUACAUUCACUUUAAACAGGGCUCCGUCUAAAUCCGUUGAGACGACACCGUAUGAAUUAUGGUUUGGGAAGAAACCUAAGCUAUCGUCUCUAAAAGUUUGGGGAUGCGAUGCUUAUGUCAAGAAACUUCAACCUGAAAAGCUCGAACCCAAGUCGGAAAAAUGCGUCUUCAUAGGAUACCCUAAGGAAACCAUUGGGUAUACCUUCUACUUAAGAUCCGAGGGCAAGAUCUUUGUAGCCAAGAACGGAUCCUUUCUGGAAAAAGAGUUUCUCUCGAAAGGAGUAAGUGGGAGGAAAGUAGAACUCGAUGAAGUAGUACCUCUUGAACCGGAAAGUAGUGGAGCUCAGGAAAAUGUUCCUGUGGUGCCUACACCGACUAGAGAGGAAAUUAAUGAUGAUGAUCACAGUACUUUGGAUCAAGUUGCUACUGAACUUCGUAGGUCCACAGGGACACAUUCCAAACCAGAGUGGUAUGGCAACCCUGUCCUGGAAAUCAUGUUUUUAGACAACGGUGAACCUUCGAACUAUGAAGAAGCGAUGGCGGGCCCAGAUUCCAACAAAUGGCUUGAAGGCAUGCAAUCCGAGAUAGAAUCCAUGUAUGAAAACAAAGUAUGGACUUUGACAGACUUGCCCGAUGAUCAGCGAGCGAUAGGAAACAAAUGGAUCUUUAAGAAGAAGACAGACGCGGAUGGUAAUGUUACCAUCUAUAAAGCUCGACUUGUCGCUAAGGGUUAUCGGCAAGUUCAAGGGGUUGACUACGAUGAAACUUUCUCUCCCGUAGCAAAGCUGAAGUCCGUCUGAAUCAUGUUAGCAAUUGUCGCAUACUAUGAUUAUGAGUUAUGGAAGAUGGACGACAAAACGGCAUUCCUUAACGGGCAUCUUAAGGAAGAACUGUAUAUGAUGCAGCCGGAGGGUUUUGUCGAUCCUAAGAAUGAUAAUAAGGUAUGCAAGCUCCAGCAAUCCAUUUAUGGGCUGGUGCAAGCAUCUCGGAGUUGGAACAUUCGCUUUGAUGAGAUUUUCAAAGCGUUUGGGUUUAUGAAGACUUAUGGAGAAGCCUGCGUUUACAAGAAAGUGAGUGGGAGCUCUGUAGCAUUUCUCAUAUUAUAUGUAGAUGACAUACUUUUGAUGGGAAAUGAUAUAAAACUUUUGGACAGCAUUAAGGCCUACUUGAAUAAGUGUUUUUCAAUGAAGGACCUUGGAGAAGCUGCUUACAUAUUAGGCAUCAAGAUCUAUAGGGAUAGAUCGAGACGCCUCAUAGGUCUUUCACAAAGCACAUACCUUAAUAAAAUAUUGAAGAAGUUUAAAAUGGAUCAGUCCAAGAAAGGGUUCUUGCCUGUAUUGCAAGGUGUGAAGUUGAGCUUGGCUCAAUGCCCGACCACGGCAGAAGAUAAAGAAGAGAUGAGUGUCAUCCCCUAUGCCUCAACCAUAGGAUCUAUUAUGUAUGCCAUGUUGUGCACCAGACCUGAUGUAAACCUUGCCGUAAGUUUGGUAGGAAGGUACCAAAGUAAUCCCGGCAAGGAACACUGGACAGCGGUCAAGAAUAUCCCGAAGUACCACAAAAGGACAAAGGACAUGUUUCUCGUUUAUGGAGGUGACAAAGAGCUCGUCGUAAAGGGUUACGUCGAUGCUAGCUUCGACACAGAUCUGGAUGACUCUAAGUCACAAACCGGAUACGUGUAUAUGUUGAAUCGUGGAGCAGUAAGCUGGUGCAGUUGCAAGCAGAGCGUCGUGGCGGGAUCUACAUGUGAAGCGGAGUACAUGGCAGCCUCGGAGGUAGCGCAUGAAGCAAUAUGGAUGAAGGAGUUCAUCACCGACCUAGGAGUCAUACCCAAUGCGUCGGGGCCAAUCACUCUCUUCUGUGACAACACUGGAGCUAUUGCCCUUGCCAAGGAGCCCAGGUUUCACAAGAAGACCAGGCACAUCAAGCGUCGUUUCAACUCCAUUCGUGAAAAUGUUCAAGAUGGAUACAUAGAUAUUUGCAAAGUACAUACGGAUCUGAAUAUCGCAGAUCCGUUGACUAAACCUCUUCUGCGAGCAAAACAUGAUCAACACCAGAACUCUAUGGGUGUUCGAUUCAUCACAAUGUAACUAGAUUAUUGACUAUAGUGCAAGUGGGAGACUGUUGGAAAUAUGCCCUAGAGGCAAUAAUAAAAGGAUUAUUAUUAUAUUUCCUUGUUCAUGAUAAUUGUCUUUAUUCAUGCUAUAAUUGUAUUAUCCGGAAAUCGUAAUACACGUGUGAAUACAUAGACCAUAAUAUGUCCCUAGUGAGCCUCUACUUGACUAGCUCGUUGAUCAACAUAUAGUCAUGGUUUCCUGACUAUGGACAUUAGAUGUCGUUGAUAAUGGGAUCACAUCAUUAGGAGAAUGAUGUGAUGGACAAGACCCAAUCCUAAGCAUAGCACAAGAUCGUGUAGUUCGUUUGCUAGAGCUUUUCCAAUGUCAAGUAUCUUCUCCUUAGACCAUGAGAUCGUGUAACUCCCGGAUACCGUAGGAGUGCUUUGGGUGUACCAAACGUCACAACGUAACUGGGUGACUAUAAAGGUGCACUACAGGUAUCUCCGAAAGUGUAUGUUGGGUUGACACGGAUCGAGACUGGGAUUUGUCACUCCGUAUGACGUAGAGGUAUCUCUGGGUCCACUCGGUAGUGCAUCAUCAUAAUGAGCUCAAAGUGACCAAGUGUCUGGUCACGGGAUCAUGCAUUACGGUACGAGUAAAGCGACUUGCCGGUAAAGAGAUUGAACAAGGAAUUGGGAUACCGAUGAUCGAAUCUCGGGCAAGUAAAAUACCGAUUGACAAAGGGAAUUGAAUACGGGGUUGCCUGAAUCCUCGACAUCGUGGUUCAUCCGAUGAGAUCAUCGAGGAGCAUGUGGGAGCCAACAUGGGUAUCUAGAUCCCGCUGUUGGUUAUUGACCGGAGAGCCAUCUCGGUCAUGUCUACGUGUCUCCCGAACCCGUAGGGUCUACACACUUAAGGUUCGGUGACGCUAGGGUUGUAUAGAUAUGAGUAUGCAGCAAACUGAAAGUUGUUCGGAGUCCCGGAUGAGAUCCCGGACGUCACGAGGGGUUCCGGAAUGGUCCGGAGAUAAAGAAUUAUAUAUAGGAAGUGCAGUUUCGGCCAUCGGGAGAGUUUCGGGGGUCACCGGUAUUGUACCGGGACCACCGGAAGGGUCCCUGGGGUCCACCGGGUGGGGCCACCAAUCCCGGAGGGCCCCGUGGGCUGAAGUGGGGAGGGGACCAGCCCCUGGUGGGCUGGUGCGCCCCCCUUGGGCCCCCCCUCCCGCGCCUAGGGUUGGAAACCCUAGGGUGGGGGGGGCGCCUCCACUUGCCUUGGAGGGCACUCCACCCCCUGGCCGCCGUCCCCUUGGGAGAUCCCAUCUCUAGGGCCGGCUCCCCCCCAGGGGUCCUAUAUAAAGGAGGGGGAGGGGAGGGCAGCCGCACCCUGAAGUCUUGGCGCCUCCCUCCCCCCUUGCUACACCUCCUCCUCCCGUAGUCGCUUGGCGAAGCCCUGCCGGAACUCUGCUGCAUCCACCACCACGUCGUCGUGCUGCUGGAUCUUCAUCAACCUCUCCUCCCCCCUUGCUGGAUCAAGAAGGAGGAGACGUCACACUGACCGUACGUGUGUUGAACGCGGAGGUGCCGUCCGUUCGGCGCUAGGAUCUCCGGUGAUUUGGAUCAUGACGAGUACGACUCCCUCAACCCCAUUCUCUUAAACGCUUCCGCUCGCGAUCUACAAGGGUAUGUAGAUGCACUCCCCUCUCUUGUUGCUAGAUGAACUCAUAGAUUGAUCUUGGUGAACGUAGGAAAUUUUUAUUUUAUGCAACGUUCCCCAACACUUUGGUGAGGCGGUGAUGGUACACCUAGCGCCGGAUCCAUGCAUCAUUUGGGCGGACGCAUUGGAUUCCCCGCGGAAGGAGUUCGAGUGUUGCCGUUGCCAUCGGGCAGCCUCCUCCCGGGAGCGGUGGAGCGCAAGCUGGAUGGCCAGCUCCUCCUAGGAGCCGCGUGGGAUGAGUUCGGGGUUGACGGAUCUGGAGGUGUAACACUGGGAUCCGCCUCCUGCCAUGCCGAAGAAGGCCAUAAGAUCGUCGAACGGGAGCUUGGGUGGCGGCAUAGAGUGGAGUAAAGUGGCUAGGGUUUGGUCCGGCAAGCGGAUGGGGAGGAAUAUAUGUGGGGUCGGGUGGGCCAGCGUGGACCGGGACCGACAUGGCGGACGCGCCUGGGCGCCGCAUAUUCUUCCUAGAUUUGGGCUGGAUAUCAGGGGUGCUGGUUAGCUUGGGCGUUUGAGGCCCAUCUGGAUAGUUUUUCUGUGACCUGACCGUUCGUCCGGGCGUUUGAGGUGGGUUUGGGACGCCCAGGUGUAAAUGCUCUUAGACCAUGUAGUACCUUGAGGAGGAUGGUGGGUCCAUGGAACAACUACAGCCUCUCCAUUUUGUUUGGGCGCAGGGCGAUAACGGAGUUAUCUCUACUCCUAAAGAGGGAGUCGUUAGUCUCCCUUCCACGGUUUUUUUGUCUUACCUCCCAUCUUUGUUUCAUUUUUUCCGUCUCUUUUUCCACCACCGUCUGUUUUUUCUCAUCUCCACCUGGCAUGUAACGAAAAAAAAUCUGUUUCAUAGGUCGAUUGUCAAGGUCCGAGAGCCGCCGCCACCUUCAUUGCGGACCUCUAGGUCGCCGUCCGGACACACCGCCGAGGUCCGCAAUCACCGACGUUGAGGUCCGAGAGGAGCUGCCGCCCCCUUCAUUCUGGGCCUGGACGCUUCAUGGUCCUCCUACCUCUCCCUUUCCUCUCCCCUUCUCUCCCGCUUCCAUCCUCACUCGCCGCCCCUGCCUCUCNNNNNNNNNNNNNNNNNNNNNNNNNNNNNNNNNNNNNNNNNNNNNNNNNNNNNNNNNNNNNNNNNNNNNNNNNNNNNNNNNNNNNNNNNNNNNNNNNNNNNNNNNNNNNNNNNNNNNNNNNNNNNNNNNNNNNNNNNNNNNNNNNNNNNNNNNNNNNNNNNNNNNNNNNNNNNNNNNNNNNNNNNNNNNNNNNNNNNNNNNNNNNNNNNNNNNNNNNNNNNNNNNNNNNNNNNNNNNNNNNNNNNNNNNNNNNNNNNNNNNNNNNNNNNNNNNNNNNNNNNNNNNNNNNNNNNNNNNNNNNNNNNNNNNNNNNNNNNNNNNNNNNNNNUCUCUCUCUCUCUCUCUCUCUCUCUUGUUUCCUACCCCACUGGUUCUACAAUGCUGGUCGUCGCCUUGGGUUGGCGAACCUAGCUACUGUGGGUUGGGAUUCAAAUGCCACAUCAUCUUUGGGACGCGGCCGUGACGGCUUGGCCUGAUGCCUGCGAAGUAGGGCGAGCAGAGACAACAUGAGACUGCGCCGCUGUGCUGUUCGCCGUGACGCGCUGUCACGCUGUGUAGAUGGAGGAUGCGUGCCCAAGCCUUGUUGUGCCUGUCUUCCCGUGCGGUAGUCGGGAUCUGGACUGGAUCGGGGUUGAGUUCGACACCACCGAACCCCGGCUUCCAGGAGACCAGGCGCCUCCUCUCCUCAUCACCCGUCUCACCAGAGGCAUGUGCAGAAUUCCGUACACCAUCUGCGCAAACAUGGUGGUCGACGACGCUCUGGAUGUGGUCUACGUGAGGACUAGGUUCCAUCAUUAACAUGUACCCUGGCAAGGUAUGUGCUAUGGGAUGUAAACUCUCGAUUUUAUCUUCAUUUUAGUUGCCUUCAUCUCAUGCUUUGUUCGUUCCAUAGGCAUUUGUCAUGAAUCUAUUUUCAGGAGGGUGAUGUUAACGAUUUCAAAAACUUGAUAGCAGGGUAUGGCUAUAGUUAUUGGUCAUGCAUUAUCGCGAGGCUUGACAAGCAUACCAUAAAAUGGUUUUUAUUUAUGCUCUCGUAGGUUAAACCAAUCUCUGUCAUUAUGAAAUUGGCAUAGCUGAACAUGAUCAGGACUUCAGCAGGGCAGGGUCAUUACUUUGGAGUUUCAGCACUCAUAGUUGGUGAGUGCUUAUGUCCUAAAAUUUUGGAUGUGACUAAACAUAGGCUGGUAUGGCUAAUCUUUUUUGCUUUUCUGUCCUUGCUCUUCACGGAAUCUUCAGGUUUACGGAUUGAUAAUUGUGAUCUAUGUUUCAACCACUUCCCAAUGUUUUACUUGAUGAGAAGGUUCUAAUUUUAUUUUAUUUUAUUUCACUUGAUGAGAAGGGUCCAUGUUUCACCGACUUUGUACAAGUGUGUUUGCUUAGCUAGAUUUCUGCCCUUAUUUUCUAUUUGACAUCCCUCAAUCAUUUUCUGCAGAUUCACUUCGUUCGUAUUCUAUAUUGUUGUAAGUGCACCUAGGGAUAUUAUAGUAGUUCUUAUCUGCAGUUUACUACAACUGGUGACCACAUCUCCAUAUUAUUAUCUUUAAAAUGUACUUUCAAAAAGUAAACUAAUUAACGUUAACCUUCCGCUCUGUAGAAACCACAUAAUUUCAACUCAUUAAUCAUUUUUUAGCGGAAAGGCAGUAAUCAAUGAUGGCGAUUUAAACUGUACUCCUUAUAGUAUUGAUAUUCCCCAUGCACCGGUAUGUUCUCGUACAUCCGUGAAACUUCUGAGUCAAAAUGUUAUAUCCUUAUGUAUACAGUUCAUCAUUGGUUGUUACAGAAUUUCCCAGUGGGCACAACCUCAACCCACACCUCCCACCAGGAUCUUCUCUCUGCCGGAGCCAUCCUACCUGCAGCCAGCUCCCCCUCGUACGCCCUGAUCUCCACCUUGUGUGCUGGUCCAUUCAUCAUAGCUAGAAGGUAAUGACUAAUGAGCAUGUCAUCUCUGCCCCUCUCAAUUUCAUCCUUGUGUUGUUUAUUUUUCAGAGAAUGUGGUAUUAUGUAGCCCCUCUCUGUUGAUGAAUUGAAUGUAUAGAUUAUAUACUAGCAAAAGAGCCCGUGCGUUGCAACGGGAUAAUAAAACCGACGAAUUGUACUCGUGUGACUUGAGCUUUGGUUGGUUUCACACGCUUAUACUUCUUAGUUUUCUUGUAAAAUAAUAUGGCGGUAUUUAUACUAUUCAGGGUUGGUUAUCCAUCCGUCAGGUUAUUCAGGGCGUAAAUUUACGGAAAGAAGCAUAUUGUGACGGUGAAUGCGACGGAGUCAAUCCGUGCUUUAUUAUUUGGAAAAGAGAAAUAUGCCUAUGCAUUGCUACGGCUCUAGAAUAAACCUAUACAUGGUCAAAAUACAGGACAGCAACAUGUCUUCUUUUAGUUUUUUUCAAACCAUUAGAAAUAUGUUAGAUUUUACUUAAGUUUAGUUCCCUUAUUCCACCAUAAAGCAUUCCGGUUGAAAAGGAGAUGGCGUCUGUCAUUUACUUUCUAGAAAAACAUAGAGUCGAUAAACUUUCCUGUAUCUUCAGCCAUAGGUCCUUUACUCAUAUUUAAAAAAUUGUAAUAUUUAAUCCAAGCAAAAUUAUAUGAAUUACAGGAAAAAUUGUACUCAUGUGACUUGAGCUUUGGUUGGUUUCACACGCUCAUACUUCUUAGUUUUUUUGUAAAAUAAUACGGCGGUAUUUAUACUAUUCAGGGUUGGUUAUCCAUCCGUCAGGUUAUUCUUGAAGCUAGCUAGUAAUCACCAUGAGUUCAGUUGGCGUUCCAAGUAAUCACCAAGCCAAUCGACCGUGAGCAUCCGGACGUUAGCUGCGAAUGACAGACGGCUGGAUGGGCUAAUGAAGAUUAAACCUCAAUUUUGUACGCGGUAGUGCUGCAGACCUUCUGCAGUGAGACUUCGAUCAGAAGGACUUACCAGACAGGGGCACGGAGGAUUUAGAUAUCCUACUGCAGCUGCCGCUGCUCACCAAGGAGUUGCUCCCGUGCCGCUCGAAGGUCGCCAGCUCGGGGCAGAGCAGGAGCUUAAAGGCCAUGGACACGCCAGACCUGAAGGACGGCAGUGGCAAGGGUGGCGCAGGUGGGCGACGUUGCUCGCGCUCGGGGCGGACGCCGGCGGCGCUCGAUCUUGCCUAGAGCACGGAGGGGACAGGGGAGCAGGGGAAGAGGUAGGCAGUAAACCAGAUAGGAAUGGCACAUGUAUCGCAUCUGCCCUCGGCGGAGCUCCGCUCUGUCGUCAACAUCCGCGACGGACCCCACGAAGCCCAUCAUGUCGGCGUCCUUGAGGAACCGCCCCUGCUUGCCGCGGCCGACCGCAAUUUCGGAGAAAUUGGAGAUGGGGGAUCGUCCGCGGUUCGGCAACGGGUACGGGGAGGAGUCCGGGGCAAAGACUGUUCCGCUCGACCGGCCGGAGGAGCGCAGCCGCUCCGGUGGCCAGAGAUCGAGGGGGUGGCGGCGGUGUCCAACCCCCAACAGGCUGUGUUCUUUUUCUGACGGGACGAAAAAGGGGAAUCCCUUCUCUGGAACCGCUGUCGUUGCUCGACUGUGCUCCAAGCCGCCGCCGCCACCGCCGUCGCCUGAUUGCUCUCUCCCCGUCAACCCCCCCUCUCUCUCGAUCCAGCGACGCGUGUUUAGAUCGAAGCCCCCUGAAUUCCACGACCGAUCUGAUUCUAUCGAUCGAGGCAGCUCUGUUUCGAUUUGUAUAUGUACUUUUUAGGAGGAGUGUCCCGUGUUUGUUUCUGAUAGCCAUCUAUUUGUUUUAUGCUCAACAGGCCCAUUAGCCCUUGAUCUGGCCCAGGGAGUCUAGCGACCCAGGGAGUCUAGCGGGGAAGAGAGCGGGUGCGACCGAUUGGAUGCACACGACGUGGUUGGCCAUCUGAAUUAGUACCACCUUGAAUAUAUUUUAAAAUUAAAAUUGAAAACGUAAAAUCACGGAAAGAAGCGCAUUGUGACGGUGAAUCCGGAGACCCAAUCCAUGCUUUAUUAUUAGGGAGAGAUUACUAAAGAAAUCCGCCUUAAAAGGCGUUCCACUAAAAACGCAGUAGGAUCCUAUUUCAAGUUCCUUGCACUUAAACCGCAAAAGGGAAAGGCAAUUUUCCUAACUUUUCCCGUUAACGCAGAGCAGUCAGAUGAAUAACAGUAGGAUUGUUCAGUUUGUAUGCUCGUCCACUACUUCGGUUUAUUCAGGUUGCAUGAUACAGUAAUUUUGCAAAUGUGUCAGACUAUCUAUUUAGAUUAGCUAAUAGAAUUUAUUUCCACUAUGUGUUGUGCGGAGGAUAGAUCAGCAGGACUAAACAAUAUGUGUCUAACACCAUUUGCACAAUUCCCUUAAACUGCCCGCAGUAGCUGACCAAGUACCACCAAUGUUGUCAUCAGUCUUGAAGGGGAUUCAAAACCCGGUAGGAUCGCACACCGUAUGGCUUGGACAUCGGAAGAAGAUGCAAGAUUGGUAAUGAGAUUACUUGCCUCAGUGCUCAAUUUAUGAUCCUAUUCAUUUGAACUGAUUUACUUGUUUGUCUCAGCUAAUCUAUCCUCAAACGCAGACAACCAUUUGGUCGAAAACCUCAAAUGUUUCCAUCGAGAUAAUAACAAGAAGAACAUCAAGUACUGGGAUGACAUUGUUGUUACAACAAUAGUAAUAGGCCAAGUCACCGGAAGGGAGAUGCUCGUCGUGUAUGAUGGACAUGGUGGCUCGGAGGUGAGGUUAUCUUCUCUUGAAAAUCUUGACCUAGACAAAAGAAAUUAACCUUGAGGCCAUGGGAAGCAGGAAAGCGAAGGUCACGAAUGGCCGCACAAUUUGGUGGUGUUUGUGUGUUGUGCGGUCAAGCCUUUCUACGGGCUCCAUGGUGAUGCAGCAGCAUCACCUUCUUACGGAGAUGAGAUGAUGGGAUGAGGCCGCAUGGUGUUACCUAUUGUUGUUGUGUUAGCUUUGCUGUGUAUGUGUGCGUGUGAGAGAGAUCAGCGGCUGAUUGGGGAUGGUUAUGUUGUUGCUAGAUUAUAAAACAUGUCGUUUAAGUGAAUAUCAACUGUCGGAAAGAAAGCAAUGGUACUGUGAUUCUACUGUUUUAUGCUAGACGUUAAAGAAUACUACUUGCAAGCAGUUAGCGACGAACUGAGGGUUUGCAAGUAGUACUUUUUCCCAGUUGUGCUUCUACUUGCCUGAAUUUAAGUAGGAGAAAUUACCAGUUGUGUUUUUUUGAAAUAAUCUUGAUUUAACUAUGAUUUUCAGAAACUGGUACAGCUUUAACACGGUUCCUUGCUCACUGUGGUACAUUAAAACAAUAAAUUGAGGAGUUUAGAGCCUGCCUAGAGACCUCACAUAGCACCGCCUCAUUUGGCAGCGACAUCAUGAUGAUCUUGUCUGGUCUACUCCAAGUCUCCGCUUGUGGUUUGUGUUGGAAAUAUGAGCAAUUUACCGAAUGAUUUUAUUAACAAAAAUACUAGAUAAAGCAUGACUAAAAUAGGAAAUAUAAAGAAAGUCAUGCAGUCUGACAGAGAGAAGGUAAACAUCGUCUGCAUAAAUGAACUUGAGCUAAACACAUCUAGAACAGACAAUAGAUGAAGUUGCUCAUACGAAACAGAACCUAACAUACGUAGGGCAGAAACUAGAGCCAAGAACUGUAGCAGGACUUCUAACAGAAAGGAGAAGAACACGUACGGCAUAGCAGCAGCAGAAGAGCUGGACUUGGGGUCAGUGUCCUCGCCUGCCAUGUCGUCGAGGAGGUCGUGGACGUCGGGGAAGAAGUCGUCGUCGGGGAAGUAGUCGUCGGCGACCGGAUCGUCUGUGAUGAAGCAGCCAGUAGUCGCGCUGAGCGCUUCCCAAAAACCUUAUCACCCUUCUCCCGUACAUGACUCAAAAGGUGCGGUCUCUGAGGCCUACUGUCCCAACAUGCGGUGCACGCCGCAAGUCGGGAUGAGGAAGACAGCAGCAGCUCAGAGAUGGAACCGAUGGCGAGGGAAGGAGCAGUUCUGGUGCGUAUCUCUGAAAGGAGCGACCUCCCUUUUAUAGGCGCAAGAGAAGGAGGCGAGAGGCUGCGCCGGGAGCUGAAGGGAAUGUGGGAGACGAAACGAACAAGCAGCAGCUGAAGGGGCGCGCCGUUCGGAUUCAGUGUCCAGGCACAGAAAAAAACUGUUUCAGCUUCCGAGUGACCUUUCGUAUACACGUAGUGCGUGGCAAAACUUUAGACAUCGGCUCAUUCCCGCAACCCGCGGCGUGACGAGGCGGGCGGCGGAGGAGGAGCGCGCGUGGAUGUCCCUCUUGUUCUCAUGCUCAUACAAGUGGGGAAGGAGUCUCCCUUAUAAAGAGGUCCAACUCCCUCUAAACUAGCAAGGUGGGACUAAACUUUAGUUCCACCUCUUACCUUGCAUGAAUGGGCUGCGUGGGCCUCUAGGAUUUAUUAGGAAUUUCUGAAACUGCUAUUGGGCUAGGCCCAAAUAGACAAAAAUUCCAGCAGUUUGUGUUCUUUAGGUCUAUGGAAAACACCACGGUGCAUGCCAUUGUCCGUCAUUUCGGGAAAAAUGACCUAGAACAUGCAGAUAACUAAAUUUGGUGAAAGAACUGAAGAAAUCUACUACAUCACAAUAUGAAUUAAAAACAAACAAAAAAUUGGGCAGGACCUCUACAUAAAAAUGGACAGUUAUAGAAAUUUAGCGAAACGGAAAUAAAUCAACGGUUUGCCAAAAAUUUAACGCUUAUAGUAUGAAUCCCAAUAAGGAAAUGAAGACAUCUACUACAUCACAAUAUGAAUAAAACAUAAACAAAGAAAUUUGGCAUGACCUCUGCAUAAAAAUGGACAUAUUAAGUGAUUGAGAUCUGGCGAAACAGAAAUAAAUCAACGUAUCGCCAAAACUUUAGCACUUAUAGUAAGUAUACCUAUAAUGAAUUGAAGACAUCUACUACAACAUAUUAUUUAACUCAGUAUGAACAGAAAUAAUGUACGGAAUAAUACAAUAUAUAUGUGAGACUAUAUAAUUACCUCUAAUAUGAACAAAUUGGUAUUCCUUGUUCAUGGUUACGUAUGUGGCUGCUGCAACUAUAAUUGUUUUGAUGUGUGUGCCUUAAAAACUAUAGAACAAGAAACUACAACUAUAAAUGAACUCUAGUAUGAACAAAUCGAACUCAUUAACGAAUAUGAACACAUUAAUAGCAAUAACCCUAACCCUAGUCGAACGUACGUGUGCGUGUGCGUGGCGGCCGUGGCCGUGGGUGACAAGGAGGAAAGCCGGAGAGGGAGGCGCGGACGACAAUGUAUUACUGGAUGGAGCGGAGGGUGACGGGGCGGAUCGUCGGUGAGGGCGACGGGGCGGCGAAUCGAGGGCGAGGGAGACGCGCGGUGAACGGCUAGGGCGGCGACGAGUAAGCGGUGCUGAUGGCGGCAGCGGACAGGGACGACGACUUGGGUAGCAUGGAUGAGCCAACGGCGUCCGCGACGAGAUGGGGAAGAGUGGGAGUGAGAGAGUAAAUUGGGGUAGGAGGAGAGGGGGCACGUGCGUGUACGUAGGUCGAUUGAGUUUGUCGUAUGCGACCGGUGUGCCAAGCCUCCCAACACGGCUUCUUUGGGGUGGUGGGCGGAAAACCGAUUCGAUUUGGGGCAGAAUAGACAGCUAACUUAGUUGUGGCGGGUAGGGGCCCAUACCCGCCAGAGCUAAUAUCUGUAUAAAAUUUAUUUUUCUGGCGUGCAUUGCUGGCACUAAACUGUGGCCGGCCCAAUCGAGCGUCCGCCACUUUUGCAUUCAAGAACAAUGGCGGCCGAGGCUAACACCCGCCACUGAUCGCAUUCAUCAGGUGGCCAUACUCAGUGGUGCUUACUUGUGGCGGGUGGUGUUCUCCACCCGCCACUGCUACGCAUGUAACUCUGGAGGUCAUGUUGUGGCACCUGCCACUGGUACUUUUGCUAACUAGCAGUGGCAGGUGCUAUGUCCCGCCCGCCAAUCUUUCGAAUUCACCUAUAAGCCCUUUCCCAGUAGAGUAAUAAAGGACUUCUUGACAAGUCCGUGUAGAUUAAAGGUAUGUUAGUAGAUGGUGUAAUAAAUACAUGCUUUAGUGAUCUAAGGAUACAAAUAUGCCACUAUUUAUUUUGUAAAAGGUCGAAAUCAUUCUUAGAAAUCUUAGUAACAACAGUUCUCAUGAACAACUUUGACAAAAUGCAUCAAAUGUUACAAAUAAUACAUACAAACUUAGUUCAAUAAAUUAAUCAAUUGAAGUGAGAACAAACCUAAAUGUACUUAGAGUAAAUCAAUUAAUACGUGUAAAGCCAAUACUAAUCCAAUAUUUAUUAAUAAAUUUGCAUAGAAUUACAACCCUUUGACAUAGAAAGGGAAUAUGAUGAGUCAUGUAUAGAUAACUUGCACAACAUUCCUACCCUUGGCAUAAAAGGAGAAAUUGAUGAGUCAUGUAUUGAUAAUGUGCACAACAUCACUACCCUUGACAUAAAAGGAGAAUUUGAUGAGUCAUGUGUUGAUAACGUGUACAACAUUACUAUCAGUAUGUUCAACUUACCAUCAUAUUAUACAACACUACAAGUUAGUUUUAAAAAGAACAAGAGUCCAGAACGAAGAUCAGAAUACUUGCUUGAUCUAUCUUAACAACAUGCACUAGGACAAAAAUUUAGUCCCACGCAAGCUAUGAAGAUUUGUUUUAUGUAUAACUAUUUGUACAACAUGACAAACUUAGAUCCAAAAGGAAUGCAAUCCAGAUAAUUGUUUGACAUGUAAAGUGAAUAAGAUGAGUCAAUGCCAAUUAUCAAGUUUUCCUCACUCUUAGAUGAUAUGUACAAUAAAAAGACAACUUUGAUGAUCACUCUGAAAUUACGUUUGUAUGUAGUGCCACCAAACACAACAUCCCAAAUAUUAGUUUGAUAAGCAUCAAAUCACUUUUGAAAAAAGAAAGCAAUAAUGAAAAGAAACCUAACCAAGAUAGCUAUAAAAAGGCCUGCAAUAUGUAGACUCCAUACCAUCAUCCAUCCUUCACACACCUAGAGCACAAAUCAGCAAAUCCAAGUACGUAGUAGUUAACGCAAAUCGACCAUGAAGACCUUACUCAUCCUGACGAUCCUUGCGAUGGCAAUAACCAUCAGCACCGCCAAUAUGCAGGUCGACCCUAGUGGCCAAGUACAAUGGCCACAACAACAACUAGUCCCCCAACCCCAACAGCCAUUAUCCCAGCAACCGCAACAAGCAUUUCCCCAACCCCAACAAACAUUUCCCCAUCAACCACAACAACAAGUUCCCCAGCCUCAGCAACCACAACAACCAUUUCUCCAGCCCCAACAAGCAUUCCCCCAACAACCACAACAACCAUUCCCUCAGACUCAACAACCACAACAACCAUUUCCCCAGCAACCACAACAACCAUUUCCCCAGCAAUCACAACAACCAUUCCCCCAGACUCAACAACCACAACAACCAUUUCCCCAGCAACCACAACAACCAUUCCCCCAGACUCAACAACCACAACAACCAUUUCCCCAGUUCCAGCAACCACACCAACCUUUUCCCCAGCCCCAACAACAAUUCCCGCAGCCCCAACAACCGCAACAAUCAUUCCCCCAGCAACAACGACCGUUCAUUCAGCCAUCUCUACAACAACGUUUGAACCCAUGCAAGAAUAUCCUCUUGCAACAAUGCAAACCUGCGUCAUUGGUGUCAUCCCUCUGGUCGAUAAUCUGGCCACAAAGCGAUUGCCAAGUGAUGCAGCAACAAUGCUGCCAAGAACUAGCACAGAUUCCUCAGCAGCUCCAGUGCGCAGCCAUCCAUAGCGUCGUGCAUUCCAUCAUCGUGCAGCAGCAGCAACAACAACAACAACAACAACAACAACAACAAGGCAUGCAUAUCCUGCUGCCACUAUCUCAACAACAACAGUUGGGUCAAGGUACUCUCGUCCAAGGCCAGGGCAUCAUCCAACCUCAGCAACUAGCUCAAUUGGAGGCGAUCAGGUCAUUGGUGUUGCAAACUCUUCCAACCAUGUGCAACGUGUAUGUCCCACCUGAGUGCUCCAUCAUCAGGGCACCAUUUGCCAGCAUCAGGGCAUCAUCAGGGCACCAUUUGCCAGCAUAGUCGCGGGGAUUGGUGGCCAAUGAAAAAAGCAAGAUCUAUACUAAUAGAUAGAUGGAUCAUCGUUACUUAGCAGAUGCACCAAUCGAUGUAACGAUGACAAAUAAAGUGGCGUGCACCAUCAUGUGUGACCCCGACCAGUGCUAGUUCAAGCUUGGGAAUAAAAGACAAACAGAGUUCUUGUUUGCCAGCAUUGCUUGUCAUUGUUCCAUUCACCAUGUAUUUAGAUGUUCAUCCCUAACCGCAGUUCUAGGCUUACACAUCAACAGCUAGUUGCUUGUGCCGGCAGGUUCCUAUGUAAUCUACCGAUUAAUGGUUGACCUAUUAAUCCAGUUUAUAGGCCGAUUGAUCUAUUAAUUGCUGCUCCCAAACUGACCGACCAGCUAUCAGUUACCAUUUUGCUGAACAUUGCACACAGUAAUAACUCAACGUAUUUUAAUGUCUAGAAGUAAAAGGGCCAUUUUAGCAGCAAAACAAGCGCCUGAUUAGGAACCAUCCAUCACUUUAAAUGUUCACCAAGAUAUUUUUGCGUUGGUGCAAUUUUGAGAUUGGUGGCACCGAAACAUUCCUCAAAGCAAUUCUUUAUGGGACUCCAAAGAGGUGAAAAUAAAGUAAAGUUGCCACAUGGUAAAAUAUAAAUCAUGCGGCGAGCAAGAGAAAAUAUUGAGUUACGAUAGCAAGCGCCAAACAUGCCAUUAAACUCUUCAUAUGGUUUCGUGCAGAGAGGGGGGAUUUAGAGAUGACAAACAAAGCUUAAGUAGCAUCGGUUCUGAUUGUAGAAAUUUCUUUUACCUAUAGAAUAACUCGGUUGUUAUUUCUUUAACAAUGUAGUGUGAUAUUAACUUAUCUCAAUCUAGGAACACAAAGCAAAUAUUACAUGUGCUUCUAUGGAUUCCAAGCAGAUGAGAAAUCAUAUUGUGUAGAAGUUCAUUAGAAGGAUAUAAUAGUUUUGACCUAAACAAAUUUACUAUUGUACUCGUGUCUUAGAAAAUUAAAGCUGAAAAUCAACAUAACCAUUGGACACUUCGAAAGACAAGUGUGGGAAAUAAAUAGUAGGAUGUAAAUUUGAGUAGAGUGUUUGAUCAAAUAUUGAACAAAUAACCCACAAACUACUAAAACUCAUCUAUUAAUUCUACCAUAUAUGAACUGUCACAAUGAUAAAGCUAUGAUUUUUUUGACAAAUAUGUAUCCUAGAACUAAUACAAGUUCAAACAAAUCAGCCACAGAUCCCCGAGCCCAUCCAACCAGAUAGCUGAAACUGAAAGAAGCAUUAGCUUGAUUAGAGCACCUACAGCCUAACUUGACAAAUUUGACCCCAGAAACGCUCGCGGACGCGCCCGGUAGUAACCGGUCACGCCUAAAAUAUUUCAUUCUACAACCAGAUACCUCAAAUUAGAAACCUCAAAUCCAUAUUAUUACAUGCAACAUAAAUCGAUCUUUAAGCAGAGCACGUCCGGUGAUCGAAUGCUCUCCGGAGUGUUGGUCCAGUCACCGGCAAGUUAGAGUAGGGCAUGGGAUACGAGGCGGGUCACGGGACUCGAGGCGCCACCGUCCCCCAUUCCCAACUCUUCUCCAUCGGAACCAGGACGGUGCCGGUGGACGUCAGAUCGAUGAUGGAUCCUUCCUGGGAUGAGCCAUCAACAUCGACCACCACGUGGUUGCGGUGCCCGGACUAGUGCACAAUAUGGGGAGCCGAAAAAUACGACUUUGCCUUCGCAACGACCACCACCGCGAGGGCUGUCGCCGCCUCCCGCACCCGCUGCCUUGCAUGGCAGGAGCGCCGAACUAUGUUUUGCGUCGGGCGGUGCCCAUGGUGUGUCCAUGGCCUCAGCACGCCAAUGGAGGGGCUGUGCGUCUGCCACCCAUUUGAACGCUAGAUGGACCGCACCACCUCUGGUGAGGCAGUGAUGGUACACCUAGCGCCGGAUCCAUGCAUCAUUUGGGCGGACGCAUUGGAUUCCCCGCGGAAGGAGUUCGAGCAUUGCCGUUGCCAUCGGGCAGCCUCCUCCUGAGACCGGCGGAGCGCAAGCUCGAUUGCCAUCUCCUCCUAGGAGCCGCGUGGGAUGAGUUCGGGGUCGACGGAUCUGGAGGUAUAACACUGGGAUCCGCCGCCUGCCAUGCCGAAGAAGGCCAUAAGAUCGUCGGACGGGGGCGGCAGGGAGUGAAGUGAAGUGGCUAGGGUUUGGUCCGGCAAGCGGAUGGGGAGGAAUAUAUGUGGGGUCGGGUGGGCCAGCGUGGAUCGGGACCGACAUGGCGGACGCGCGUGGGCGCCCCAUAUUCUUCCCAGAUUUCGGCUGGAUAUGAGGGGUGUUGGUCAGCUUGGGCGUUGAGGCCCGUCUAGGUCAUUUUUCUGUGACCUGGCCGUCCGCCGGGGUGUUUGAAGUGGGUUUGGGACACCCGGGUGUAAAUGCUCUUAGACCAUGUAGUACCUUGAGGAGGAUGGUGUGGGUCCAUGAAAGAACUACAGCCUUUCCAUUAUGUUCGGGCGCAGGGCGAUAACGAAGUUAUCUUUACUCCUACAAGGGGAGUUGUUAGUCUCCGUUCCAUGGGUUUUUUUGUCUCACCUCCCAUCUUCGUUUCAUUUUUUCCGUCUCUCUUUCACACCGUCGGGUGGAGCUUAUGUGUCAUACUCCGUGACCUUUCAUUAGUUUUCUAGAGAGAAUCCUACUCUCAUAGAUUGCGACGUUUAACAAUCAGACUCAUAUAGGUGUGUUCUUCAAAAGAUGUUCUGCAGGACAACAUCUCUCCUUCAAAAAGCCACUUAGAACACAUUAAGAUAUACAUCAACCUACCAUGCAGAUUAGGAGAGUAUUGCAUCUUCAUGGAGUGGUAUUUUAACAAUAAGGAUACACUACUAGGGAAAAGGCUAGCAGCAGCGCGGGUUUUUGGUGUAUCAGUAGCGCGGGGUGGGGCGCUACUAAUAAGGCGCUACAGCUAACAUAUAGCAGUAGCGCGUGGUCACCGGCGCUACUGCUACACAAGUGUAGCAGCAGCGCGGUUACUGGGAGCACGCUACUGCUAGUAGCUCUAGCGCCCUUUGCAGCAACGCGCUACUGCUAUAGAGGCGCUGCUGCUAACUUCUAUACACUCGCUACUGCUAAUUUAACAGGUUUUUUGUUUUUUUGGGCAUAUUUGUUUUGUAUUUGAACAGGCUUUAUAGAAGAAUCUUUAGCACAUAGAAAUGUCAUCAUGAUACACAUACAAAUGCCUGCGAGACCACGAAUAUAAUCAUAGCAUAUACAUACAAAUAGUCUCAUCAUAAUCAUCAUCCAACACAAAGUGGUCUCUCGUCAUCAUCUCGAAAAUAGCGAUACAAGUCCUUGAUUACUUGCAAAUACAUUGUCAUCCAUCUAAACAAUGGUAUACGCGAGAAGAGCUAUCACUUUGAGAACAUGAGUUCGUAUCCCUCUCUCGCAUUAGCGUGAACCUAAACUAACUACUGCCUGUCGCUCGGAAACCGGAAACCGGCAACACCUGGGUCUGACACUCCGGUCACUCAUCGUAUAUAUACUCCUGGCGUAGCACUUCUUCGCCAUCGAUGAUCUAUGCACCUGCAUCAUCACAUGAGUAGAUGAUAUGCAACAUAUAUAGUUGAGCAACAGAAAGAGACAGACUUGACAAAAAUAGAAACAACGUAUCAUAAGCAUAAAUAACAAAGUUCAUCAUAACCAAAAUGCCCUAACUAGAGUGAUCUUCGCUAGUCGAGGAGGAGGACGGUUUAAUUACAUCACAAAUAAAGUUUUACUGCGCAUAACUCAAAGUUUUGUCAUACAGAAAGUAUGGAGUAAACAGACACAUUGUCAUAUAUUGACAAUCACUCCAACAUGCCGUGCCAUCCAUCGAGGUCAGGGAGAUAGUCCCCGAGCUUAGUGAAAGGCUUCAUGUCGAGACGCUGAGAGGCUAUCCAUGUUCGGACGUCUUCCCACAACAUUUUUCCUCCGUAGAACAUCCCUGUUUUUCCGACGACCUCUUUCAUGAUGAUUUGGGCAAGUUCGCGUUGGAUGUUAUAGAACUCAGCUCGAAGUCGAUGAUCCUCGAUAUCUCCUAUGUCCUUUGCCCAUUGCAGAAUAUGGGCAUCGCCAGAUCUAGGUGACAUGUGAAGGUUCUGGUGAUCCCGUUUGUACUCCCGCAUGUGGUGUAGGACAUAGAAUCCACCAUUAAGAGAAUCGUUCGGUUGUUGGAUGCAGCAGAAGUCGGUCUUAUGGCUGAAGGCGGCCCUGCCGCCCCUUCUCUUCUUGUCCCUAACCUCUCCACCCCUUGCUUGGUAGUAAAACAUAGCACUGUCGAGAACAUCUUUGAUGUGGGUGUAAUCCUUUUUGUGAAUGUUAUUCGAUGAGUCCAAGUAAAGAGCAUGGGAGAAUCGGGGGUAGAGGAUGAUGAGGACGGCGCGCCCGCCGCUGCGCAAAAUAAGUACACCUCAAAUUAAUUAGCCUUCACCGUGCAAAUGAAUUAUUGAAAUCGAAGGAAGGAUAGCAGCGCGGAUGACUUACACGGGAUGAUAAGGCACGAGAAUCGCCUCCUUGUCCUUAUUGGCGAGCAUGAAACUAACGAUGUAAUUCCUCGCGUAUUCACGCUGCUCUGCACAGACUCCCAAGAAGCUCUCGUGCAUGUAGUACGGGUCAGUGACACAGAUAUGACGUAUCUGCUCAACCCCAAUGAUGUAGUUCAUGUGCAAGGCAUAAAGGCGGACAAAUGUAAAAUCCAGCUUCUUCACGUGAAACAUGUCGAAUAUGUAAUCGAAUCGGAGGAAGAACUUAUCCGCAGCGAAGCUGUCGACGUAUGACAUUUUCCGCGGAACGUUAUCCACGUAGAGUGGGUAUCCUGGAUCUUUCGAGGCAAUGAGGCAUUUCUCUACCCGUAGCACAUCAUCAUGAAGUCUCCUUAGAUCGCCGAAUCUGGCCCGUAGCGCUGUUGCAGGUAGGAUUGGUUGACCGGGGAUAUGCCAUUUAUCCGCAUCGGGGAUAUCUAGACGGUCCUGAAGCUGAGGCUGCUGAGGCGGCUGGAUCAUAGAAUCAACUUUUUUUCCUUUCCUCGCUCUCUUCCUAGACUUCUUUACUACCGGAAAGUCGUCAAUAACACAUUGAGACGGUAAUUCAGGCACCGACUCAUGAUGCUCAAACCCUGAGGAGGCGCCAGUAUAGACAUACUGUUCAGCGCCAUCGUCAUCCUCAUCCUCAUCCAUGGCGACGUCAUCAGCGACUAAUGGAGCCUCCUCCUUACCCCGUCCGCUAUCACCCAACCCGACACCCAACGCUAAUUGGGUAGGUGGGGUGUUGAUGUUCAUACCUUGCUGAGACUGCGUGCUCGUGGGUGUGCUCCCGGCCGCCUCCAGACGAAGCAGACUCUUUGGCCACAACAGGACCUACCCAUUGCAACAAUCACCAAGCCGCUGCGGUGUCUCCUCGUCAUCCACCAAUAGUGUUGGAGGAGGCAAAUUCUCGUGGCCCGGUUCGACACUGGCCAUGGAAACCUUGAAGACGUUUGGGGGAAUCGGCCGGCUGUGGAACAAUGGUUCCUUCGGCUUCAUUAUCGUCGCCUUCCCCAUGGCCACCUUCUGGUCCCCGAUGGUGUACAAUAUGGUGCGCGGGGUUUCGUCGGCCUGCAAAGAGAAGUCUGCGACGUGAGACAUUCGAAAGGCAACGAAAACGGGAGAUUAUACAUUUAUAUUGAAGGGGGCCGGUGUGACAGAUACCGUGAGGGCGUCGAGCUCAGCCAAAGACAAAGCACCGCCGAGCACGUCCGGUGCGGGAGCCGGUGCGGGAGCAGGUGCUCCCAAGAAGUCAGCAAGGGGAAAGUCCUCUGCAUUUUUUUCUGGAUUUUUCCUUGUCCAAGUGAUAACGCCCGUCACCAAGGAAGUAGACAAAUCUGCAACCGCCUGUUUUGCGGCAGCUACCGCUGUUGCGACUGUCUGAGAUGAUUUCUUCUCAACCGCAAUCUCAACCUUCUUGUCGAUGUUUUUUUCAGUUAACCUCCGUCUUUCCUUUCUCUCCUCUGUGGUCUCCCGGUAGUACUUCUUCCACGUGGCGCCGUCUCCGACACCGUGCACGCGUCCAUACGAUGGUCGAGUAUCCAUCGGUUGUCGUUUCAAUAUGUUCAACGUCCGGUUGAAUGGAGUGUCCCACUUGGGCCUCGCCAAUGCCUCAGACGGCGAGUCGUUUUCGACCGCAAUCCGGUGCUGCUCUCUCUGCAAAAGGCACAAGGAUCGUUUACAAAUAUGACUAACGUGUGCAGUCGAAUUGAUCAGAAACUAAAAUUACCAGCAGUCUCAUGAACUCCGUAAUGACCGGUGUUGUCUCAUAAACCUUCUUCACUGGGUCCCAACGGUGCCGAGCCCUCAGGACGUCACGCUCCUGCGGGACAGUGAAAUCCGCCAAGGGGUCUGGGAUGCCCAGACUCGCGGCUUCCGCGUCCUCCUUGGCCCAUUUGGACCUCUUUCCGCCGUAACCACGCUUCCGAGGUGGUGGCUCCCAAUGUUCCUCUUUUGAAGCCCCUUCAUGUACUUAGACUUUUUUUGGCAGCUUCGGCCUCGCAAGCCUCCUUGAAUAUUUGAAACUGCUCUUCCGUGAUUGUCAGAUUAUCCUUUACAAUCUCGGAGUAGGGUUCCCCGUCGUUGAUCUUUGCUUUCACUCAAUUUUUCCAGGCGGCCAACGCGUCGCUAAACUUGGUCAUGGCGUGUUUGUUUAUCUUCUUCAUUGCGGGGUCCUCGUCUGGAUCUUCAUAAUCCUUCUCAUUCCGGCCCGGGAACAAGAAUAUCUGGUGAAACUUCUUUAGAAGGGAGCUCCUCAUAUUUUCUAUCUUCUAUAGUUUCUCAUCAUUGAUGGUGGCGGUUGUCCGUAUGAUGCAGCCUAUUUGAUUGCCGUAGCACGCGCGCGCUUCCUCGGGCGCCUUUGGCUCAAAAUUGCCGUCGUCCACCUCUGUGACCACCAGUCUAGUAGUCCUGAGUUUGUUAGGAACCCGUUGCUUCUUUGCGUUCGGUUCUACACCAGCUCCGCUCCCCGAGACAGCACCGGUCUCAGCGCCGCUCUCGAUGCCGGUCUGAAUCUCAGCGCCGGUCUCAGUCUCAGCACCGGUCUGCGUGUCGGUCUCAGUCCCCGAUGCCACUGGUGGGCCCAGCAACAACAUCGGUUGAUCGUCGGUAAGGCUAAAAUAUUCAUCUGCCACCAGGUAGACGUCGUCGCAAUCACCAGAACCCUGUCCUUCAUCGUUGCUAGCCAUGUUUCCUAUCAUUAAAUCUAGUCAAUUAAUUCUAGACCUAAUAAAAUGAAUAAUGACAUAAAAAAGGACUAUUGUUUUGCAGGAAUGUUGACUCCUUCCUGGUGCGGAAAAUCCCGGCACUCGAUAUGUCCUAGUUUGUAGCACAAGUCAUGCCGAAAUUCACGGAAAAUUUUGGCAUGGCCUUUGCUAAAAAGUGGACAAAUCGAGAACCUGAAAUUUGUCGGAACAGAAAUGAAUCAACAUUCCGGCAAAACAUAGGCCACUCAGCAUCAUUCCCUGGAAACAACAAAGCCACUUGGGCACAAUCGAACAACUUCAAUGAAAAGAUAUAACAUGAGCAAACACUAUUGAGGAAUUUGCAUAUAACAUGGCCACUUCAAUGAAAAGAUAUAAUCAACAAUAACGGAAUAUGCAAAUGAACAUCAAUGACAUAUAGCUACUGUUCUGUUUGACCAAGUUUUUGAAAAGAAAAACAAUUCUGUUUUUUGUUUAUAGCUAAAUGCCAUAGCUACUAUUUUUUAUUUAUAGCUAAAUACUUUUGUUUUUUGUCUAAAGCUAAAAGUCUAGGAACUACAUUUUCUCUAACCCUUUUGACCUCACCAGAAUUUUCACAGCAAGACCUUAGUACCUACACCCAAUUUCUUCAAAAAUAUUCAGGUCCAUAGUCCAAAUAAUUCAAAUUUCAUUUGAAUGAAAUUUGGAACAAAUUCAGGUCCGUAGUCAAAAUAUUUUUUUAUAGCUAAGUGUUUUUUGUUUAUACCCUCUGUUAAUUUAAAUCUAAAUGCUACUAUUAUUUAUAUACCCUCUAUUAGUUUAAAGCUAAAUGGAAUUACUGUUUAGGAAUUUUCAUAAAAAUUGCCCUAGCUAAUUUCCUAAAAAAAUUGCAAAUCAUUUUUCCUAAAUGCUAUAAAAUGCCUACUGCCCUAAAAAAAUCUAGGGUUCAUAUGAACACCUAGGGUUCAUAUGAACAUCAACACAGUAUCAACAUAUAUAUAUAUAAUUGCCCUAGCAGAGAGAAAUAGGAGGGUAGGGACAGGAGAGGCAUAGCCUUACGGUCGGCGUUGAGGGCAGGCUCUGGCUCGGGCAGCGGCGGUGAGGUCAAGGGCGGCGGCGGCGAGCUCGAGGGAGGCGACAGUGAGGUCGACGGUGACAGCCUCGGGUGGCGGCUGUGAGGUCGAGGGGGCGGCCUCGGGCGGCGGCCUCGGGCGGCGGCAGUGUGGUCAAAGGCGGCGGGCGGCGGCGGUGUGGUCGAAGGCGGCCUCCGGCGGUGGCGGUGUGGUCGAAGGCGCGCGGCAGGGCAACGGCGGCGAUGAAGCAGUUGGGGGACAGGGGGGAGUAGAGAGGGGGGAAAGGACUUAGCAAAAUUUUGAGCCAGGGCCGCCGGGAUUUGAGUCAAACUAGCAGCAGCGCGUUUUGACGAAACGCGCUAUAGCUAAGAUAGCUAUAGCGUGUUCCAGAGAAAUGCGCUACAGCUAACCCUUUCUGUUUUCUUUCUCUUUUUAUUUUGUUUUCUUUACAUUUUCUUUUUUUCAUUUCUCCUUUUUCUAUUUCUUUCAUUUUCAUUUACUUUUCUACUUAAUUUUCUAUUUAUUUUCCUUUACAUAGCAGUAGCGCUGUAAAGAAGAAACGCGCUGCUACAAUGUUUUUAACAGUAGCGUGCUUCUGGGAGAAGCGCUGCUACUAUUCCUAGCCUACCGGCACCAGUGAGAGAAUUUUAGUAGUAGCGCUUUUUUGUGGAGAAGCGCUACUACUAAAAUAAUGAUUGUAGCGUGGUUUUGCAACAAGCGCUACUACUAAGUAGCGCUAGCGCCGAGUUUUGACCAACGCUACUGCUAUACCUCUGUGUAUAGCAUUUUCCCUAGUAGUGAUACUCUCCUCUCAGUUGACCAACAGCUUGUCUUCCACAUCUAAUUCACGGGAUCUCCGAUCACAAAGAAUGGGUUACCACUGUGGACACCUCAUAUUGUGGGUCUCAUUCCCAUCUCCAUCGAUGCAUUAUCUAUCACAUUACGUGAUAGACCCUUAGUAAAAGGAUCUGCCAGAUUUUUAGACGUUUGGAUAUAAUCCAAUGCAAUAACUCUCGAGUUUUUCAUUUUUCUGACAGACUUUAACCUUCUCUGAACGUGUCUUGAUGACUUCAUGUUAUCCUUUGAGCUGCUCACUUUAGUGAUCACAGUUUGAUUGUCACAGUUCAUCCGGAUACCCGGUACAGGUUUCUCAACUACCGGUAAGUCAUUCAAGAGCCGACGAAGCCAAUCUGCUUCGACCGUAGUUGUAUCUAGUGCUGUGAGUUCUGCUUCCAUUGUUGACCUCGUUAAAAUGGUCUGCUUGCAAGACUUCCAAGAAACAGCGCCACCUCCAUGAGUGAAUACAUAACCGCUCGUGGCCUUUAUCUCAUCAACAUCUGAGAUCCAGUCUGAGUCAAUAUACCCUUCAAGCACCUUUGGAUGCCUAGUGUAGUGAAUUCCAUAAUUUGCAGUGCUUUCAAAUAACGCAAAACUCUCUCUAGAGCUUUCCAAUGCACAUCUCCUGGUUUUGAGACAAACCGGCUCAGUUAGCUAACAGCAAAAGAGAUGUCAGGUCUCGUAGCACUGGCUAAGUACAUAAGCGAGCCAAUAAUGUGUGAAUAUUCCAAUUGGUCUCUAGCAAUUCUUCGAUUCUUUCGAAGCAACACACUAGCAUCAUAUGGUCUUGGAGAGGGCUUGCAGUCACUGUAGCCAAAGCGACUCAAGAUCUUUUCCCCAUAGUGAGACGGAAGCAAUGUAAUCCCACCAUCAUCAUCUCUCAACAACUUGAUGUUCAGAAUGACGUCAGCCACUCCUAAAUCCUUCUUCUCAAAACAGCGAGAUAGGAAAUCCUUGACCUCCUUAAGAACAUUUAGAUUUGUUCCGAAAAUCAGUAUGUCAUCAACAUACAAGCAAAGCAUAACUCCCUCGCCCCCACCAUGGCGAUAGUACACACAUUUGUUAGCUUCGUUCACAACAAAGCCUGCAGCUGUUAAAGUUCUUUCGAACUUCUCAUGCCACUGUUUGGGUGCUUGCUUGAGUCCAUACAAAGACUUCAGCAACUUGCACACUUUCCCUUCCUAACCAUCUAUUACAAACCCAUCUGGUUGUUCCAUAUAAAUUUCCUCAUCCAACUCUCCAUUUAGGAAAGCAGUCUUAACAUCCAUUUGAUGAACGAGAAGACCAUGUGAGGCAGCUAGUGAAAGUUUAACUCGAAUAGUGGUCAGUCGAGCCACAGGUGAGUAAGUAUCAAAGAAGUCUUCACCUUCCUUUUAGGUAUAACCCUUUGCCACGAGCUGAGCCUUGUACUUUUCAAUAGUACCAUCAGGCCUAAGUUUCUUCUUGAAUACCCAUUUGCAUCCUAUAGGUUUGCACCAUAAGGACGAUCAGUUAUCUCCCAAGUUUCAUCCGCCAAGAUGGAAUCCAUCUCGCUACGAACCGCUUCCUUCCAGUAGUCAGCAUCUUCCGAUGCAUAGGCCUCCAAAAUAGAACUGGGAGUGUCAUCUAUGAGAUACACAAGAAAAUCAUCACCCAAGGACUUUGCUGUCCUCUGUCUCUUACUCCUAGUAGGAACUUCAUUGUUCUCCUCCACAGGCCUUUCAAAGUGUUCCAUCGAAAUGGCAGGUUCAGUAAUUGUAACUGGUUCCUGAUUCGAUGAACUAGGCAUCUCCUGAUUAGAUGAGGUAGCCAUAUCCUUCAUGGGAAAGAUAUCUUCAAAGAAAGUCGCAUCAUUCGACUCCAUGAUCGUACUGACAUGCAUGUCAGAUACCUCAGAUUUUACAACCAAGAAUAUAUAGCCAAUGCUAUGAAAAGCAUAUCCCAGGAAAACACAAUCCACAGUCUUUGGUCCAAGCUUCCGCUUCUUUGGAAUUGGAACAUUGACUUUCGCCAAGCAACCCCAUGUUCGCAGAUAAGAGAGUCUUAACCUUUUCUUCUCCCAUUCCUCGAAUGGAGUUAUCUCUUUGUUCUUUGUGGGAACUCGAUUUAGGACAUGACAUGCUGUCAAUAUCGUCUCCCCCCACCAUGCCUUGGAGAGACCCGAUGUGCAUAACAUGGCGUUAACGAAAUCAGUUAGAGUACGGUUCUUUCUUUCGGCCACCCCAUUUGACUGAGGUGAGUAGGGAGGCGUCCUCUCAUGGAUUAUACCAUGUUCCGCACAAAAAGCAUCAAAUUCAUUGGAAAAAUACUCUCCACCACGGUCAGACCUAAGCCUCUUGAUUUUUCGAUCAAGUUGGUUUUCCACUUCAGCUUUAUAGAUCUUGAAAAAGUUCAAAGCCUCAUCCUUAGAUUUCAGAAGAUACACAUGGCAGUAUCUAGUGGAGUCGUCAAUUAACGUCAUGAAAUAUUUCUUUCCACCUUUUGUCAAAACACCAUUCAUUUCACAUAGAUCUGAAUGUAUAAGUUCUAGUGGUGCAAGAUUUCUCGUCUCCGCAGUCACGUGAGACUUACGAGGUUGCUUAGCUUGCACACACACUUGACACUUAGAUCCUUGACAGUGGUGAAACUAGGGAUUAAGUUCAACUUCGCUAGUCGCGACAUGCAACCAAAGUUAACAUGACAAAGACGUGAAUGCCACACAUUUGAUUCACUAUUGUUGCAAAUAUGAUUAACAACUUUAUUGCAAAUGUCUGAUAAGGAUAAACGAAACAGGCCUCCUGACUCAUAGCCUUUACCAACAAAGGUCCCAUACUUGGAUAUUACAAAUUUAUUCGACUCAAAGACAAGCUUAUAGCCAUCUCUACACAGAAGAGAUCCGCUAACAAGAUUUUUAUUGACGGAGGGGACAUAAUGCACGUUCUUCAGCCGCACGAUCUUCCCUGAAGUAAACUUCAGAUCAACCAUGCCAACACCACGAACAGAAGCACUUGAACUGUUGCCCAUCAGCACGGUUGAAGUCCCUGCGGUCUGAUAAGAUGAAAACAUGGAAAUAUCACCGUAUACAUGCACAUUAGCACCCAUGUCAAUCAACCAACCAGGAGAAUGACAUACUGAAAGAAUAGUGGGAAAUAUACCAUACCCAACAUCUUUCAUGUCAAUGUCUCCGAUGACAACAUUAGCGGUCUUGCCGCCUUUCCCAGGAUGACGCUUGUCAUAGCGAUUAGGACAACUAGGAGCCCAAUGAUCAGGAUCUCCAAACACAUGACAAGCACCUUUCUUAUUGUCAUUCUUCUUCUUGAAGUUCAUGUGCUGCACAGCCUUGUUCUUCCCAUCGAACUUUGCUUUACCAUCAAACUUGCCCUUGUUCUUGAACUUGUGGGACUGGAAGUUCUUCUUCUGUACCAGAUUGGCACUAGAUCCUCCCUCAAUACCUCGAGCACAUGUGUCCUUUGCUCUCGCCUUUUCUUCCACAUAAGAGUACCAAUGAGAUCCGGGAUGGAAAACUCCUGUCUCUUAUGCUUCAGUGAGGUAGCAAAGUUCCUCCAUGAAGGAGGAAGCUUAGUGAUGAUACCCCCGGCAACAAACUUGUCCGGUAAGAUACAAUUGAAGUGCUCAAGUUCUCUAGCAAAAGACUGUAUCUCAUGAGCCUGCUCAACCACGGAGCGCUCUUCAGUCAUCCUGUAAUCAUAGAAUUAUUCCAUGAUGUACAGCUCAGUGCCGGCAUCCGAGACCCCAAACUUGGCCUCGAGUGUGUCCCACAUAUCUUUUCAUUGUCAAUUGACGCAUAAGCAUCAACUAUGUUCUCACCAAGAACACUCAAAAGAGCAGCCUUAAACAAGGUAUCCAUUUUCUGGAAAGCUUGUGCCUGUUGGGCAUCUUGCUCUCCUUCGGGUUUGCCAAGAGUGGCAUCAUAGAAACUCAUGGUUUGAAACCAUAAGACUGCUCUCACACGCCACUUCUUAUAGUGGAUACCCUCAAACAUAGGAGGUCUCAUGGAAGCAGCAAAAUCACUCGGGGUAAAUUGCCUAUAAUAAGGUUUUUGGAUUGUUGGAAAUAUGAGCAAUUUACCGAAUGAUUUUAUUAACAAAAAUACUAGAUAAAGCAUGACUAAAAUAGCAAAUAUAAAGCAAGUCAUGCAGUCUGACAGAGAGAAGGUAAACAUCGUCUGCAUAUAUGAACUUGAGCUAAACACAGCUAGAACAGACACUAGAUGAAGUUGCUUAUACGAAACAGAACCUAACAUACGUAGGGCAGAAACUAGAGCCAAGAACUAUAGCAGGACUUCUAACAGAAAGGAGAAGAACACGUACGGCACAGCAGCAGCAGAAGCGCUGGACUUGGGGUUGGUGUCCUUGCCUGCCAUGUCAUCGAGGAGGUCAUGGACGUCAGGGAAGAAGUCGUCGUCGGGGAAGUAGUCGUUGGCGACCGGAUCGUCUGUGAUGAAGCAGCCAGUAGUCGCACUAAGUGCUCCCCAAAAACCUUAUCACCCUUCUCCCGUACAGGACUCAAAAGGUGCGGUCGCGAAAGCCUACUGUCCCGACGUGCGGUGCACGCCACAAGUCGGGAUGAGGAAGACAGCAGCAGCUCAGAGAUGGAACCGAUGGCGAGGGAAGGAGCAGUUCUGGUGCGUCUCUCUGAGAGGAGCGACCUCCCUUUUAUAGGCGCAAGAGAAGGAGGCGAGAGGCUGCGCCGGGAGCUGAAGGGAAUGCGGGAGACGAAACAAACAGGCAGCAGCCGAAGGGGCGCGCCGUUCGGAUUCAGUGUCCAGGCACAGAAAAAAAAUGUUUCAGCUUCCGAGUGACCUUUCGUAUACCCGUAGUGCGUGGCAAAAAUUUAGACAUCGGCUCGGCUCAUUCCCGCAACCCGCGGCGCGGCGCAUCGUGAUGAGGCGUGGUGAGGCGGGCGGCGGAGGAGGAGCACGCGUGGAUGUCCCUCUUGUUCUCAUGCUCAUACAAGUGGGGAAGGAGCCUCCCUUAUAAAGAGGUCCAACUCCCUCUAAACUAGCAAGGUGGGACUAAACUUUAGUUCCACCUCUUGCCUUGCACGAAUGGGCUGCGUGGGCCUCUAGGAUUUAUUAGGAAUUUCUAAAAUUGCUAUUGGGCUAGGCCCAAAUAGACAAAAAUUCCAGCAAUCCCCCACCAGAUCCCAGAGGCACACAAAAUUUGCCUUUGGUUCCAAAACACUGUUUUAUAUACUGGUACAGCAGUGGAGACUGUUAAGUUGAACUUCCACCUAGAACCCUAUGCUACACUAGUAAGCAACUUGAACAGUGGACUGGGCCUUGAACUGCAAGUUUUCUGCAAAUCUAGCUUCACAUAAGGCCUUGACCGAUACGUGGCUACCGUGGGUCUUCCCCGUGGGUGGAGCUUAUGCGUCAUACUCCGUGACCUUUCAUUAGUUUACUAGAGAGAACCCUACUCUCAUAGAUUGCGACGUUUAACAAUCAGACUCAUAUAGGUGCGUUCUUCAAAAGAUGUUCUGCAGGACAACAUCUCUGCUUCAAAAAGCCACUUAGAACACAUUAAGAUAUAAAUCAACCUGCCAUGCAGAUUAGGAGAGUAUUGCAUCUUCAUGGAGUGGUAUUUUAACAGUAUGGAUACUCUCCUCUCAGUUGACCAACAACUUGUCUUCCACAUCUAAUUCACGGGAUCUCCGAUCAUAAAGAAUAGGUUACCACUAUGAACAACUCAUAUUGUGGGUCUCAUUCCCAUCUCCCUCGAUGCAUUAUCUAUCACAUUACGUGAUAGACCGUUAGUAAAAGGAUCUGCCAGAUUUUUAGACGUUUGGAUAGAAUCCAAUGCAAUAACUCUGGAGUUUUUCAUUUUUCUGACAGACUUUAACCUUCUCUGAACGUGUCUUGAUGACUUCAUGUUAUCCUUUGAGUUGCUCACUUUAGUGAUCACAGUUUGAUUGUCACAGUUCAUCCGGAUACCCGGUAUAGGUUUCUCAACUACCGGUAAGUCAUUCAAGAGCCGACGAAGCCAAUCUGCUUCGACCGUACCUGUAUCUAGUGUUGUGAGUUCUGCUUCCAUUGUUGACCUCGUUAAGAUGGUCUGCUUGCAAGACUUCCAAGAAACAGCGCCACCUCCAUGAGUGAAUACAUAACCGCUCGUGGCCUUUAUCUCAUCAGCAUCUGAGAUCCAGUUUGAGUCACUAUACCCUUCAAGCACCUUUGGAUGCCAAGUGUAGUGAAUUCCAUAAUUUGCAGUGCCUUUUAAAUAACGCAAAACUCUCUCUAGAGCUUUCCAAUGCACAUCUCCUGGUUUUGAGACAAACCGGCUUAGUUAGCUAACAGCAAAAGAGAUGUCAGGUCUCGUAGCACUGGCUAAGUACAUAAGCGAGCCAAUAAUCUGUGAAUAUUUCAAUUGGUCUCUAGUGAUUCUUCGAUUCUUUCGAAGCAACACACUAGCAUCAUAUGGUGUUGGAGAGGGCUUGCAGUCACUGUAGCCAAAGCGGCUCAAGAUCUUUUCCACAUAGUGAGAUUGAAGCAAUGUAAUCCCACAAUCAUCAUCUCUCAAAAACUUGAUGUUCAGAAUGACAUCAGCCACUCCUAAAUCCUUCAUCUCAAAACAGCAAGAUAGGAAAUCCUUGACCUCCUUAAGAACAUUCAGAUCUGUUCCGAAAAUCAGUAUGUCAUCAACAUACAAGCAAAGCAUAACUCCCUUGCCCCCACCAUGGCGAUAGUACACACAUUUGUCAGCUUCGUUCACAACAAAGCCUGCAGCUAUUAAAGUUCUUUCGAACUUCUCAUGCCACUGUUUGGGUGCUUGCUUGAGUCCAUACAAAGACUUCAGCAACUUGCACACUUUCCCUUCCUGGCCAUCUAUUACAAACCCCUCUGGUUGUUCCAUAUAAAUUUCCUCAUCCAAAUCUCCAUUUAGGAAAGCAGUCUUAACAUCCAUUUGAUGAACGAGAAGACCAUGUGAGGCAGCUAGUGAAAGUAGACCUCGAAUAGUGGUCAGUCGAGCCACAGGUGAGUAAGUAUCAAAGAAGUCUUCACCUUCCUUUUGGUUAUAACCCUUUGCCACGAGCCGAGCCUUGUACUUUUCAUUAGUACCAUCAGGCCUAAGUUUCUUCUUGAAUACCCAUUUGCAUCCUAUAGGUUUGCACCCAUAAGGACGAUCAGUUAUCUCCCAAGUUUCAUUCGCCAAGAUGGAAUCCAUCUCGCUACGAAUCGCUUCCUUCCAGUAGUCAGCAUCUUCCGAUGCAUAGGCAUCCGAAAUAGAACUGGGAGUGUCAUCUAUGAGAUACACAAGAAAAUCAUCACCAAAGGACUUUGCUGUCCUCUGUCUCUUGCUCCUAGUAGGAACUUCAUUGUUCUCCUCCGCAGGACUUUCAAAGUGUUCCAUCGAAAUGGCAGGUUCAGUAAUUGUAACUGGUUCCUGAUUCGAUGAACUAGGCAUCUCCUAAUUAGAUGAGGUAGCCAUAUCCUUCAUGGGAAUGAUAUCUUCAAAGAAAGUCGCAUCAUUCGACUCCAUGAUCGUACCGACAUGCAUGUCAGAUACCUCAGAUUUUACAACCAAGAAUCUAUAGCCAAUGCUGUGAAAAGCAUAUCCCAGGAAAACACAAUCCACAGUCUUUGGUCCAAGCUUCCGCUUCUUUGGAAUUGGAACAUUGACUUUCGCCAAGCAACCGCAUGUUCGCAGAUAAGAGAGUUUUAACCUUUUCUUCUCCCAUUCCUCGAAUGGAGUUAUCUCUUUGUUCUUUGUGGGGACUCGAUUUAGGACAUGACAUGCUGUCAAUAUCGCCUCCCCCCACCAUGCCUUGGAGAGACCCGAUGUGGCGUUAACCAAAUCAGUUAGAGUACGGUUCUUUCUUUCGGCCACCCCAUUUGACUGAGGUGAGUAGGGAGGCGUCCCCUCAUGGAUUAUACCAUGUUCUGCACAAAAAGCAUCAAAUUCAUUGGAAAAAUACUCUCCACCACGGUCAGACCUAAGCCUCUUGAUUUUUCGAUCAAGUUGGUUUUCCACUUCAGCUUUAUAGAUCUUGAAAAAGUUCAAAGCCUCAUCCUUACAUUUCAGAAGAUACACAUGGCAGUAUCUAGUGGAGUCAUUAAUUAACGUCAUGCAAUAUUUCUUUCCACCUUUUGUCAAAACACCAUUCAUUUCACAUAGAUCUGAAUGUAUAAGUUCUAGUGGUGCAAGAUUUCUCGUCUCCGUAGUCACGUGAGACUUACGAGGUUGCUUAGCUUGCACACACACUUGACACUUAGAUCCUUGACAGUGGUGAAACUAGGGAUUAAGUUCAACUUCGCUAGUCGCGACAUGCAACCAAAGUUAACAUGACAAAGACGUGAAUGCCACACAUUUGAUUCACUAUUGUUGCAAAUAUGAUUAACAACUUUAUUGCAAACGUCUGAUAAGGAUAAACGAAACAGGCCUCCUGACUCAUAGCCUUUACCAACAAAGGUCCCAUACUUGGAUAUUACAAAUUUAUUCGACUCAAAGACAAGCUUAUAGCCAUCUCUACACAGAAGAGAUCCGCUAACAAGAUUUUUAUUGACGGAGGGGACAUAAUGCACGUUCUUCAGCCGCACGAUCUUCCCUGAAGUAAACUUCAGAUCAACCAUGCCAACACCACGAACAGAAGCACUUGAACUGUUGCCCAUCAGCACGGUUGAAGUCCCUGCGGUCUGAUAAGAUGAAAACAUGGAAAUAUCACCGCAUACAUGCACAUUAGCACCCAUGUCAAUCAACCAACCAGGAGAAUGACAUACUGAAAGAAUAGUGGGAAAUAUACCAUACCCAGCAUCUUUCAUGUCAAUGUCUCCGAUGACAACAUUAGCGGUCUUGCCGCCUUUCCCAGGAUGACGCUUGUCAUAGCGAUUAGGACAACUAGGAGCCCAAUGAUCAGGAUCUCCAAACACAUGACAAGCACCUUUCUUAUUGUCAUUCUUCUUCUUGAAGUUCAUGUGCUGCACAGCCUUGUUCUUCCCAUCGAACUUUGCUUUACCAUCAAACUUGCCCUUGUUCUUGAACUUGUGGGACUGGAAGUUCUUCUUCUGUACCAGAUUGGCACUAGAUCCUCCCUCAAUACCUCGAGCACGUGUGUCCUUUGCUCUCGCCUUUUCUUCCACAUAAGAGUACCAAUGAGAUCCGGGAUGGAAAACUCCUGUCUCUUAUGCUUCAGUAAGGUAGCAAAGUUCCUCCAUGAAGGAGGAAGCUUAGUGAUGAUACCCCCGGCAACAAACUUGUCCGGUAAGAUACAAUUGAAGUGCUCAAGUUCUCUAGCAAAAGACUGUAUCUCAUGAGCCUGCUCAACCACGGAGCGCUCUUCAGUCAUCCUGUAAUCAUAGAAUUAUUCCAUGAUGUACAGCUCAGUGCCGGCAUCCGAGACCCCAAACUUGGCCUCGAGUGUGUCCCACAUAUCUUUUCAUUGUCAAUUGAAGCAUAAGCAUCAACUAUGUUCUCACCAAGAACACUCAAAAGAGCAGCCUUAAACAAGGUAUCCAUUUUCUGGAAAGCUUGUGCCUGUUGGGCAUCUUGCUCUCCUUCAGGUUUGCCAAGAGUGGCAUCAUAGAAACUCAUGGUUUGAAACCAUAAGACUGCUCUCACACGCCACUUCUUAUAGUGGAUACCCUCAAACAUAGGAGGUCUCAUGGAAGCAGCAAAAUCACUCGGGGUAAAUUGCCUAUAAUAAGGUUUUUGGAUUGUUGGAAAUAUGAGCAAUUUACCGAAUGAUUUUAUUAACAAAAAUACUAGAUAAAGCAUGACUAAAAUAGCAAAUAUAAAGCAAGUCAUGUAGUCUGACAGAGAGAAGGUAAACAUCGUCUGCAUAUAUGAACUUGAGCUAAACACAGCUAGAACAGACACUAGAUGAAGUUGCUUAUACGAAACAGAACCUAACAUACGUAGGGCAGAAACUAGAGCCAAGAACUAUAGCAGGACUUCUAACAGAAAGGAGAAGAACACGUACGGCACAGCAGCAGCAGAAGCGCUGGACUUGGGGUUGGUGUCCUCGCCUGCCAUGUCAUCGAGGAGGUCAUGGACGUCAGGGAAGAAGUCGUCGUCGGGGAAGUAGUCGUCGGCGACCGGAUCGUCUGUGAUGAAGCAGCCAGUAGUCGCACUAAGCGCUCCCCAAAAACCUUAUCACCCUUCUCCCGUACAGGACUCAAAAGGGGCGGUCGCGAAAGCCUACUGUCCCGACGUGCGGUGCACGCCACAAGUCGGGAUGAGGAAGACAGCAGCAGCUCAGAGAUGGAACCGAUGGCGAGGGAAGGAGCAGUUCUGGUGCGUCUCUCUGAGAGGAGCGACCUCCCUUUUAUAGGCGCAAGAGAAGGAGGCGAGAGGCUGCGCCGGGAGCUGAAGGGAAUGCGGGAGACGAAACGAACAGGCAGCAGCCGAAGGGGCGCGCCGUUCGGAUUCAGUGUCCAGGCACAGAAAAAAAAUGUUUCAGCUUCCGAGUGACCUUUCGUAUACCCGUAGUGCGUGGCAAAAAUUUAGACAUCGGCUCGGCUCAUUCCCGCAACCCGCGGCGCGGCGCAUCGUGAUGAGGCGUGGUGAGGCGGGCGGCGGAGGAGGAGCACGCGUGGAUGUCCCUCUUGUUCUCAUGCUCAUACAAGUGGGGAAGGAGCCUCCCUUAUAAAGAGGUCCAACUCCCUCUAAACUAGCAAGGUGGGACUAAACUUUAGUUCCACCUCUUGCCUUGCACGAAUGGGCUGCGUGGGCCUCUAGGAUUUAUUAGGAAUUUCUAAAAUUGCUAUUGGGCUAGGCCCAAAUAGACAAAAAUUCCAGCAAUCCCCCACCAGAUCCCAGAGGCACACAAAAUUUGCCUUUGGUUCCAAAACACUGUUUUAUAUACUGGUACAGCAGUGGAGACUGUUAAGUUGAACUUCCACCUAGAACCCUAUGCUACACUAGUAAGCAACUUGAACAGUGGACUGGGCCUUGAACUGCAAGUUUUCUGCAAAUCUAGCUUCACAUAAGGCCUUGACCGAUACGUGGCUACCGUGGGUCUUCCCCGUGGGUGGAGCUUAUGCGUCAUACUCCGUGACCUUUCAUUAGUUUACUAGAGAGAACCCUACUCUCAUAGAUUGCGACGUUUAACAAUCAGACUCAUAUAGGUGCGUUCUUCAAAAGAUGUUCUGCAGGACAACAUCUCUGCUUCAAAAAGCCACUUAGAACACAUUAAGAUAUAAAUCAACCUGCCAUGCAGAUUAGGAGAGUAUUGCAUCUUCAUGGAGUGGUAUUUUAACAGUAUGGAUACUCUCCUCUCAGUUGACCAACAACUUGUCUUCCACAUCUAAUUCACGGGAUCUCCGAUCAUAAAGAAUAGGUUACCACUAUGAACAACUCAUAUUGUGGGUCUCAUUCCCAUCUCCCUCGAUGCAUUAUCUAUCACAUUACGUGAUAGACCCUUAGUAAAAGGAUCUGCCAGAUUUUUAGACGUUUGGAUAUAAUCCAAUGCAAUAACUCUGGAGUUUUUCAUUUUUCUGACAGACUUUAACCUUCUCUGAACGUGUCUUGAUGACUUCAUGUUAUCCUUUGAGUUGCUCACUUUAGUGAUCACAGUUUGAUUGUCACAGUUCAUCCGGAUACCCGGUACAGGUUUCUCAACUACCGGUAAGUCAUUCAAGAGCCGACGAAGCCAAUCUGCUUCGACCGUACCUGUAUCUAGUGUUGUGAGUUCUGCUUCCAUUGUUGACCUCAUUAAGAUGGUCUGCUUGCAAGACUUCCAAGAAACAGCGCCACCUCCAUGAGUGAAUACAUAACCGCUCGUGGCCUUUAUCUCAUCAGCAUCUGAGAUCCAGUUUGAGUCACUAUACCCUUCAAGCACCUUUGGAUGCCAAGUGUAGUGAAUUCCAUAAUUUGCAGUGCCUUUUAAAUAACGCAAAACUCUCUCUAGAGCUUUCCAAUGCACAUCUCCUGGUUUUGAGACAAACCGGCUUAGUUAGCUAAUAGCAAAAGAGAUGUCAGGUCUCGUAGCACUGGCUAAGUACAUAAGCGAGCCAAUAAUCUGUGAAUAUUUCAAUUGGUCUCUAGUGAUUCUUCGAUUCUUUCGAAGCAACACACUAGCAUCAUAUGGUCUUGGAGAGGGCUUGCAGUCACUGUAGCCAAAGCGGCUCAAGAUCUUUUCCACAUAGUGAGAUUGAAGCAAUGUAAUCCCACCAUCAUCAUCUCUCAACAACUUGAUGUUCAGAAUGACAUCAGCCACUCCUAAAUCCUUCAUCUCAAAACAGCAAGAUAGGAAAUCCUUGACCUCCUUAAGAACAUUCAGAUUUGUUCCGAAAAUCAGUAUGUCAUCAACAUACAAGCAAAGCAUAACUCCCUUGCCCCCACCAUGGCGAUAGUACACACAUUUGUCAGCUUCGUUCACAACAAAGCCUGCAGCUAUUAAAGUUCUUUCGAACUUCUCAUGCCACUGUUUGGGUGCUUGCUUGAGUCCAUACAAAGACUUCAGCAACUUGCACACUUUCCCUUCCUGGCCAUCUAUUACAAACCCCUCUGGUUGUUCCAUAUAAAUUUCCUCAUCCAAAUCUCCAUUUAGGAAAGCAGUCUUAACAUCCAUUUGAUGAACGAGAAGACCAUGUGAGGCAGCUAGUGAAAGUAGACCUCGAAUAGUGGUCAGUCGAGCCACAGGUGAGUAAGUAUCAAAGAAAUCUUCACCUUCCUUUUGGUUAUAACCCUUUGCCACGAGCCGAGCCUUGUACUUUUCAUUAGUACCAUCAGGCCUAAGUUUCUUCUUGAAUACCCAUUUGCAUCCUAUAGGUUUGCACCCAUAAGGACGAUCAGUUAUCUCCCAAGUUUCAUUCGCCAAGAUGGAAUCCAUCUCGCUACGAAUCGCUUCCUUCCAGUAGUCAGCAUCUUCCGAUGCAUAGGCAUCCGAAAUAGAACUGGGAGUGUCAUCUAUGAGAUACACAAGAAAAUCAUCACCAAAGGACUUUGCUGUCCUCUGUCUCUUGCUCCUAGUAGGAACUUCAUUGUUCUCCUCCGCAGGACUUUCAAAGUGUUCCAUCGAAAUGGCAGGUUCAGUAAUUGUAACUGGUUCCUGAUUCGAUGAACUAGGCAUCUCCUAAUUAGAUGAGGUAGCCAUAUCCUUCAUGGGAAUGAUAUCUUCAAAGAAAGUCGCAUCAUUCGACUCCAUGAUCGUACCGACAUGCAUGUCAGAUACCUCAGAUUUUACAACCAAGAAUCUAUAGCCAAUGCUGUGAAAAGCAUAUCCCAGGAAAACACAAUCCACAGUCUUUGGUCCAAGCUUCCGCUUCUUUGGAAUUGGAACAUUGACUUUCGCCAAGCAACCCCAUGUUCGCAGAUAAGAGAGUUUUAACCUUUUCUUCUCCCAUUCCUCGAAUGGAGUUAUCUCUUUGUUCUUUGUGGGGACUCGAUUUAGGACAUGACAUGCUGUCAAUAUCGCCUCCCCCCACCAUGCCUUGGAGAGACCCGAUGUGGCGUUAACCAAAUCAGUUAGAGUACGGUUCUUUCUUUCGGCCACCCCAUUUGACUGAGGUGAGUAGGGAGGCGUCCUCUCAUGGAUUAUACCAUGUUCUGCACAAAAAGCAUCAAAUUCAUUGGAAAAAUACUCUCCACCACAGUCAGACCUAAGCCUCUUGAUUUUUCGAUCAAGUUGGUUUUCCACUUCAGCUUUAUAGAUCUUGAAAAAGUUCAAAGCCUCAUCCUUACAUUUCAGAAGAUACACAUGGCAGUAUCUAGUGGAGUCAUUAAUUAACGUCAUGCAAUAUUUCUUUCCACCUUUUGUCAAAACACCAUUCAUUUCACAUAGAUCUGAAUGUAUAAGUUCUAGUGGUGCAAGAUUUCUCGUCUCCGCAGUCACGUGAGACUUACGAGGUUGCUUAGCUUGCACACACACUUGACACUUAGAUCCUUGACAGUGGUGAAACCAGGGAUUAAGUUCAACUUCGCUAGUCGCGACAUGCAACCAAAGUUAACAUGACAAAGACGUGAAUGCCACACAUUUGAUUCACUAUUGUUGCAAAUAUGAUUAACAACUUUAUUGCAAACGUCUGAUAAGGAUAAACGAAACAGGCCUCCUGACUCAUAGCCUUUACCAACAAAGGUCCCAUACUUGGAUAUUACAAAUUUAUUCGACUCAAAGACAAGCUUAUAGCCAUCUCUACACAGAAGAGAUCCGCUAACAAGAUUUUUAUUGACGGAGGGGACAUAAUGCAUGUUCUUCAGCCGCACGAUCUUCCCUGAAGUAAACUUCAGAUCAACCAUGCCAACACCACGAACAGAAGCACUUGAACUGUUGCCCAUCAGCACGGUUGAAGUCCCUGCGGUCUGAUAAGAUGAAAACAUGGAAAUAUCACCGCAUACAUGCACAUUAGCACCCAUGUCAAUCAACCAACCAGGAGAAUGACAUACUGAAAGAAUAGUGGGAAAUAUACCAUACCCAGCAUCUUUCAUGUCAAUGUGUCCGAUGACAACAUUAGCGGUCUUGCCGCCUUUCCCAGGAUGACGCUUGUCAUAGCGAUUAGGACAACUAGGAGCCCAAUGAUCAGGAUCUCCAAACACAUGACAAGCACCUUUCUUCUUGUCAUUCUUCUUCUUGAAGUUCAUGUGCUGCACAGCCUUGUUCUUCCCAUCGAACUUUGCUUUACCAUCAAACUUGCCCUUGUUCUUGAACUUGUGGGACUGAAAGUUCUUCUUCUGUACCAGAUUGGCACUAGAUCCUCCCUCAAUACCUCGGGCACGUGUGUCCUUUGCUCUCGCCUUUUCUUCCACAUAAGAGUACCAAUGAGAUCCGGGACGGAAAACUCCUGUCUCUUAUGCUUCAGUAAGGUAGCAAAGUUCCUCCAUGAAGGAGGAAGCUUAGUGAUGAUACCCCCGGCAACAAACUUGUCCGGUAAGAUACAAUUGAAGUUCUCAAGUUCUCUAGCAAAAGACUGUAUCUCAUGAGCCUGCUCAACCAUGGAGCGCUCUUCAGUCAUCCUGUAAUCAUAGAAUUAUUCCAUGAUGUACAGCUCAGUGCCGGCAUCCGAGACCCCAAACUUGGCCUCGAGUGUGUCCCACAUAUCUUUUCAUUGUCAAUUGACGCAUAAGCAUCAACUAUGUUCUCACCAAGAACACUCAAAAGAGCAGCCUUAAACAAGGUAUCCAUUUUCUGGAAAUCUUGUGCCUGUUGGGCAUCUUGCUCUCCUUCAGGUUUGCCAAGAGUGGCGUCAUAGAAACUCAUGGUUUGAAACCAUAAGACUGCUCUCACACGCCACCUCUUAUAGUGAAUACCCUCAAACAUAGGAGGUCUCAUGGAAGCAGCAAAAUCACUCAGGGUAAAUUGCCUAUAAUAAGGUUUUUGGAUUGUUGGAAAUAUGAGCAAUUUACCGAAUGAUUUUAUUAACAAAAAUACUAGAUAAAGCAUGACUAAAAUAGCAAAUAUAAAGCAAGUCAUGCAGUCUGAGAGAUAGAAGGUAAACAUCGUCUGCAUAUAUGAACUUGAGCUAAACACAUCUAGAACAGACACUAGAUGAAGUUGCUUAUACGAAACAGAACCUAACAUACGUAGGGCAAAAUCUAGAGCCAAGAACUGUAGCAGGACUUCUAACAGAAAGGAGAAGAACACGUACGGCACAGCAGCAGCAGAAGCGCUGGACUUGGGUUGCUGUCCUCGCCUGCCAUGUCAUCGAGGAGGUCAUGGACGUCAGGGAAGAAGUCGUCGUCGGCGGGGAAGUAGUCGUCGGCGACCGGAUCGUCUGUGAUGAAGCAGCCAGUAGUCGCACUGAGCACUCCCCAAAAACCUUAUCACCCUUCUCUCGUACAAGACUCAAAAGGUGCGGUCGCGAAAGCCUACUGUCCCGACGUGCGGUGCACGCCGCAAGUCGGGAUGAGGAAGACAGCAGCAGCUCAGAGAUGGAACCGAUGGCGAGGGAAGGAGCAGUUCUGGUGCGUCUCUCUGAGAGGAGCGACCUCCCUUUUAUAGGCGCAAGAGAAGGAGGCGAGAGGCUGCGCCGAGAGCUGAAGGGAAUGCGGGAGACGAAACGAACAGGCAGCAGCCGAAGGGGCGCACCAUUCGGAUUCAGUGUCCAGGCACAGAAAAAAAAUGUUUCAGCUUUCGAGUGACCUUUCGUAUACCCGUAGUGCGUGGCAAAAAUUUAGACAUCGGCUCGGCUCAUUCCCGCAACCCGCGGCGCGGCGCAUCGUGACGAGGCGUGGUGAGGCAGGCGGCGGAGGAGGAGCGCACGUGGAUGUCCCUCUUGUUCUCAUGCUCAUACAAGUGGGGAAGGAGCCUCCCUUAUAAAGAGGUCCAACUCCCUCUAAACUAGCAAGGUGGGACUAAACUUUAGUUCCACCUCUUGCCUUGCACGAAUGGGCUGCAUGGGCCUCUAGGAUUUAUUAGGAAUUUCUAAAAUUGCUAUUGGGCUAGGCCCAAAUAGACAAAAAUUCCAGCAAUCCCCCACCAGAUCCCAGAGGCACAAAAAAUUUGCCUUUGGUUCCAAAACACUGUUUUAUAUACUGGUACAGCAGUGGAGACUGUUAAGUUGAACUUCCACCUAGAACCCUAUGCUACACUAGUAAGCAACUUGAACAGUGGACUGGGCCUUGAACUGCAAGUUUUCUGCAAAUCUAGCUUCACAUAAAGCCUUGACCGAUACGUGGCUACCGUGGGUCUUCCCCGCGGGUGGAGCUUAUGCGUCAUACUCCAUGACCUUUCAUUAGUUUACUAGAGAGAACCCUACUCUCAUAGAUUGCGACGUUUAACAAUCAGACUCAUAUAGGUGCGUUCUUCAAAAGAUGUUCUGCAGGACAACAUCUCUGCUUCAAAAAGCCACUUAGAACACAUUAAGAUAUAAAUCAACCUGCCAUGCAGAUUAGGAGAGUAUUGCAUCUUCAUGGAGUGGUAUUUUAACAGUAUGGAUACUCUCCUCUCAGUUGACUAACAGCUUGUCUUCCACAUCUAAUUCACGGGAUCUCCGAUCAUAAAGAAUAGAUUACCACUGUGAACAACUCAUAUUGUGGGUCUCAUUCCCAUCUCCCUCGAUGCAUUAUCUAUCACAUUACGUGAUAGACCCUUAGUAAAAGGAUCUGCCAGAUUUUUAGACGUUUGGAUAUGAUCCAAUGCAAUAACUCUGGAGUUUUUCAUUUUUCUGACAGACUAACCUUCUCUGAACGUGUCUUGAUGACUUCAUGUUAUCCUUUGAGUUGCUCACUUUAGUGAUCACAGUUUGAUUGUCACAGUUCAUCCGGAUACCCGAUACAGGUUUCUCAACUACCGGUAAGUCAUUCAAGAGCAGACGAAGCCAAUCCGCUUCAACCGUACAUGUAUCUAGUGUUGUGAGUUCUACUUCCAUUGUUGACCUCGUUAGAUGGUCUGCUUGCAAGACUUCCAAGAAACAGCGCCACCUCCAUGAGUGAAUACAUAACCGCUCGUGGCCUUUAUCUCAUCAACAUCUGAGAUCCAGUUUGAGUUACUAUACCCUUCAAGCACCUUUGGAUGCCCAGUGUAGUGAAUUCCAUAAUUUGCAGUGCCUUUCAAAUAACGCAAAACUCUCUCUAGAGCUUUCCAAUGCACAUCUCCUGGUUUUGAGACAAACCGGCUUAGUUAGCUAACAGCAAAAGAGAUGUCAGGUCUCAUAGCACUGGCUAAGUACAUAAGCGAGCCAAUAAUCUGUGAAUAUUUCAAUUGGUCUCUAGCGAUUCUUCGAUUCUUUCGAAGCAACACACUAGCAUCAUAUGGUGUUGGAGAGGGCUUGCAGUCACUAUAGCCAAAGCGGCUCAAGAUCUUUUCCACAUAGUGAGAUUGAAGCAAUGUAAUCCCACCAUCAUCAUCUCUCAACAACUUGAUGUUCAGAAUGAGAUCAGCCACUCCUAAAUCCUUCAUCUCAAAACAGCAAGAUAGGAAAUCCUUGACCUCCUUAAGAACAUUCAGAUUUGUUCCGAAAAUCAGUAUGUCAUCAACAUACAAGCAAAGCAUAACUCCCUCGCCCCCACCAUGGCGAUAGUACACACAUUUGUCAGCUUCGUUCACAACAAAGCCUGCAGCUAUUAAAGUUCUUUCGAACUUCUCAUGCCACUGUUUGGGUGCUUGCUUGAGUCCAUACAAAGACUUCAGCAACUUGCACACUUUCCCUUCCUGGCCAUCUAUUACAAACCCCUCUGGUUGUUCCAUAUAAAUUUCCUCAUCCAAAUCUCCAUUUAGGAAAGCAGUCUUAACAUCCAUUUGAUGAACGAGAAGACCAUGUGAGGUAGCUAGUGAAAGUAGACCUCGAAUAGUGGUCAGUCGAGCCACAGGUGAGUAAGUAUCAAAGAAGUCUUCACCUUCCUUUUGGGUAUAACCCUUUUCCAUGAGCCAAGCCUUGUACUUUUCAUUAGUACCAUCAGGCCUAAGUUUCUUCUUGAAUACCCAUUUGCAUCCUAUAGGUUUGCACCCAUAAGGACGAUCAGUUAUCUCCCAAGUUUCAUUCGCCAAGAUGGAGUCCAUCUCGCUACGAAUCGCUUCCUUCCAGUAGUCAGCAUCUUCCGAUGCAUAGGCAUCCGAAAUAGAACUGGGAGUGUCAUCUAUGAGAUACACAAGAAAAUCAUCAGCAAAGGACUUUGCUGUCCUCUGUCUCUUGCUCCUAGUAGGAACUUCAUUGUUCUCCUCCGCAGGACUUUCAAAGUGUUCCAUCGAAAUGGCAGGUUCAGUAAUUGUAACUGGUUCCUGAUUCGAUGAACUAGGCAUCUCCUAAUUAGAUGAGGUAGCCAUAUCCUUCAUGGGAAUGAUAUCUUCAAAGAAAGUCGCAUCAUUCGACUCCAUGAUCGUACCGACAUGCAUGUCAGAUACCUCAGAUUUUACAACCAAGAAUCUAUAGCCAAUGCUGUGAAAAGCAUAUCCCAGGAAAACACAAUCAACAGUCUUUGGUCCAAGCUUCCGCUUCUUUGGAAUUGGAACAUUGACUUUCGCCAAGCAACCCCAUGUUCGCAGAUAAGAGAGUUUUAACCUUUUCUUCUCCCAUUCCUCGAAUGGAGUUAUCUCUUUGUUCUUUGUGGGGACUCGAUUUAGGACAUGACAUGCUGUCAAUAUCGCCUCCCCCCACCAUGCCUUGGAGAGACCCGAUGUGGCGUUAACCAAAUCAGUUAGAGUACGGUUCUUUCUUUCGGCCACCCCAUUUGACUGAGGUGAGUAGGGAUGCGUCCUCUCAUGGAUUAUACCUUGUUCUGCACAAAAAGCAUCAAAUUCAUUGGAAAAAUACUCUCCACCACGGUCAGACCUAAGCCUCUUGAUUUUUCGAUCAAGUUGGUUUUCCACUUCAGCUUUAUAGAUCUUGAAAAAGUUCAAAUCCUCAUCCUUACAUUUCAGAAGAUACACAUGGCAGUAUCUAGUGGAGUCGUUAAUUAACGUCAUGAAAUAUUUCUUUCCACGUUUUGUCAAAACACCAUUCAUUUCACAUAGAUCUGAAUGUAUAAGUUCUAGUGGUGCAAGAUUUCUCGUCUCCGCAGUCAUGUGAGACUUACGAGGUUGCUUAGCUUGCACACACACUUGACACUUAGAUCCCUUGACAGUGGUGAAACUAGGGAUUAAGUUCAACUUCGCUAGCCGCGACAUGCAACCAAAGUUAACAUGACAAAGACGUGAAUGCCACACAUUUGAUUCACUAUUGUUGCAAAUAUGAUUAACAACUUUAUUGCAAAUGUCUGAUAAGGAUAAACGAAACAGGCUUCCUGACUCAUAGCCUUUGCCAACAAAAGUUCCAUACUGGGAUAUUACAAAUUUAUUCGACUCAAAUACAAGCUUAUAGCCAUCUCUACACAGAAGAGAUCCGCUAACAAGAUUGUUAUUGACGGAGGGGACAUAAUGCACGUUCUUCAGCCGCACGAUCUUCCCCGAAGUAAACUUCAGAUCGACCAUGCCAACACCACGAACAGAAGCACUUGAACCGUUGCCCAUCAGCACGGUUGAAGUCCCUGCGGUCUGAUCAGAUGAAAACAUGGAAAUAUCACUGCAUACAUGCACAUUAGCACCCAUGUCAAUCAACCAAUCAGGAGAAUGACAUACUGAAAGAAUAGUGGGAAAUAUACCAUACCCAGCAUCUUUCAUGUCAAUGUCUCCGAUGACAACAUUAGCGGUCUUGCCGCCUUUCCCAGGAUGACGCUUGUCAUAGAGAUUAGGACAAAUAGGAGCCCAAUGAUCAGGCUCUCCACACACAUGACAAGCACCUUUCUUCUUGUCAUUCUUCUUCUUGAAGUUCGUGUGCUGCACAGCCUUGUUCUUCCCAUCGAACUUUGCUUUACCAUCAAACUUGCCCUUGUUCUAGAACUUGUGGGACUGGAAGUUCUUCUUCUGUACUAGAUUGGCACUAGAUCCUCCCUCAAUACCUCGAGCACGUGUGUCCUUUGCUCUCGCCUUUUCUUCCACAUCAAGAGUACCAAUGAGUUCCGGGACGGAAAACUCCUGUCUCUUAUGCUUCAGUAAGGUAGCAAAGUUCCUCCACGAAGGAGGAAGCUUAGUGAUGAUACCCCCGGCAACAAACUUGUCCGGUAAGAUACAAUUGAAGUGCUCAAGUUCUCUAGCAAAGGACUGUAUCUCAUGAUCCUGCUCAACCACGGAGCGCUCUUCAGUCAUCAUGUAAUCAUAGAAUUGCUCCAUGAUGUACAAUUCAGUGCCGGCAUCCGAGACCCCAAACUUGGCCUCAAGUGCGUCCCACAUAUCUUUUCUAUUGUCAAUUGACGCAUAAGCAUCAACUAUGUUCUCACCAAGAACACUCAAAAGAGCAGCCUUAAACAAGGUAUCCAUUUUCAGAAAAGCUUGUGCCUGUUGGGCAUCUUGCUCUCCUUCAGGUUUGCCAAGAGUGGCGUCAUAGCAACUCAUGGUUUGAAACCAUAAGACUGCUCUCACGCGCCACCUCUUAUAGUGGAUACCCUCAAACAUACGAGCUCUCAUGGAAGCAGCAAAACCACUCGGGGUAAAUUGCCUAUAAUAAGGUUUUUGGAUUGUUGGAAAUAUGAGCAAUUUACCGAAUGAUUUUAUUAACAAAAAUACUAGAUAAAGCAUGACUAAAAUAGCAAAUAUAAAACAAGUCAUGCAGUCUGACAGAGAGAAGGUAAACAUCGUCUGCAUAUAUGAACUUGAGCUAAACACAUCUAGAACAUACACUAGAUGAAGUUGCUUAUACGAAACAGAACCUAACAUACGUAGGGCAGAAACUAGAGCCAAGAACUGUAGCAGGACUUCUAACAGAAAGGAGAAGAACACGUACGGCAUAGCAGCAGCAGAAGCGCUGGACUUCGGGUCGGUGUCCUCGCCUGCCAUGUCGUCGAGGAGGUCGUGGACGUCGGGGAAGAAGUCGUCGUCGGGGAAGUAGUCGUCGGCGACCGGAUCGUCCGUGAUGAAGCAGCCAGUAGUCGCGCUGAGCGCUCCCCAAAAACCUUAUCACCCUUCUCCCGUACAGGACUCAAAAGGUGCGGUCUCGGAGGCCUACUAUCCCGACGUGCGGUGCACGCCGCAAGUCGGGAUGAGGAAGACAGCAGCAGCUCAGAGAUGGAACCGAUGGCGAGGGAAGGAGCAGUUCUGGUGCGUCUCUCUGAGAGGAGCGACCUCCCUUUUAUAGGCGCAAGAGAAGGAGGCGAGAGGCUGCGCCGGGAGCUGAAGGGAAUGCGGGAGACGAAACGAACAUGCAGCAGCCGAAGGGGCGCGCCUUCGGAUUCAGUGUCCAGGCACAGAAAAAAAUGUUUCAGCUUCCGAGUGACCUUUCGUAUACCCGUAGUGCGUGGCAAAAAUUUAGACAUCGGCUCGGCUCAUUCCCGCAACCCGCGGCGCGGCAUGACGAGGCGUGGUGAGGCGGGCGGCGGAGGAGGAGCGCGCGUGGAUGUCCCUCUUGUUCUCAUGCUCAUACAAGUGGAGAAGGAGCCUCCCUUAUAAAGAGGUCCAACUCCCUCUAAACUAGCAAGGUGGGACUAAACUUUAGUUCCACCUCUUGCCUUGCACGAAUGGGCUGCGUGGUCCUCUAGGAUUUAUUAGGAAUUUCUGAAACUGCUAUUGUGCUAGGCCCAAAUAGACAAAAAUUCCAGCAGUUUGUGUUCUUCAGGUCUCCACUUGCCAUGAUAUUGCGGCUGGGCUUCGGGUAUGUGUUACCACUGAUACAUCAUUCCAAACUACUAAUGAAUUGGUCUCUGAUGUCUUCUUCUCAAUUUUAACUAGGGCCUGCUUCUGUUUGCACCAAUUCGAGAUAGUGGUUGUGGAAUGCAGCAGCCAAGACAACAAGGUCAGGCUCGGCUUAGGUAUGAUGACAAACAAAAUUAGAUUCGGAUGGUUCCUUACAUCUUCCUCUCAGAAUCAAGAGUGAUAAUACUUUUUUGGUGCUCCGGCUUCUGCAGUUUCUGAAGAACUGAUUCGUUGUUCAGGCAUUUCAUGCAUUUGGAGUUCACAGGUAUCUAAGUUUCUCUGACUGUGUUUUCAAAUAAUUGAUACUUGACAUUAGGAUUUUUGGCUGAACAAAUCAUCUUAGACAUAAGUAGAACCCGGCAAAUUGUGAGACAGAGCUAAUUGAUACACAGUUUAGAAAAUAGAACUGAACAAUUCUUGGUAGUCACUAUUGAUUAGCUAUGUGCGUACCUUAAGUUCCUUACUACUUAUUUUAAUUGUUAGUACUUGAAGGUUUGAAUAAUUAUUAUUACCAAGUUACAUGUUGAUCACUACUUAUUAUGAAAAUGUAUGUCCAUGGUUUAAAGGAGCUUUAUUGUUUCAGUCUAUACUAAGUUAUUUGUCGGUUAUACUGGAGCUUAUAUUGUUCCCUCUUUGAUCUAGACAUCAAAUAUUCUAAGCUUCAUUUUUGUGAGCAAACGGUUCUAUGCUUCCUUUUUGUGAACAUUGCUCCAUAAAUAGUAGUGGCAUUUACUAUGCAGAUGAUACUGACAAAUUAUCAUACAAGUCCGCAUUAAUAUUCAGUCAGUAGGUUAUUGAAGAAGGCCGGAGAUCGCGUGGAGCACCAACAAUAACCUCAAGUAGAUGCAGCAGAGACAUGUGAUGAACUAUCAUAUGUUUCCUAAUCUGAAUGUUUGCUCCAAUCGCUUGAUUGUUUGAUCUGGUUUGUUGUGACAAUACAAUGAUUUUCUAUGUUCUUUUUGUGGUGCAAUCUCCGUUGAUUUGGAAAGAUGGGGACUUUCUGUUGAGCUAUUUCGAUCGGCCAUUGGCCAUAACAUUCCAAAUUCCUUAUUUUGUUUCCUCUUUUUCGCGGCUUCAUUUUACGUGUCUCACUAAAGGUGGGCAUGACUUGAAAAGGGAGGCAAACAAAACUGCCAAGAUGCAUCUCUUUUGCAGCAGAAGAAGAGGCACUGAUGAGAGGUGGAAAAGGAGGGGCAAAGAAGGAAGCCAUGGGCAUGUGCCGCCUACCGACCAUGAAUAUCAACAAUGACAAUGACGACUAGCUUGUGUGCGUGUGAGAGAGGGAGGGAGAGGGAGUCAAAACAAAAUGAUGUAUAUCUUUACUACAUUAUAAAAUGGGAUUUGGUGAGCUAUUUGUCCUUUAUGAUUCAUGAGAUUUUAAUUCUAUAGUGUUUUUUGCUCUUAAUAUAUUAUUGUGGUUAUAGAUUUAUCAUUGACACAAUAUAUGUAGAAACUUUUUUGAUCUAAAUAAGAAGAACAAAAGUUUACGGGAUGCUUUUUGAUCGUUCCCUUUACCUAGCUUCCAAUUUCUAUUGUCAGAAACACAUUUUUUUUGUUCCUAUAGGAAACAUAUGCAAAUAAAAGAUUUGCCGAAGCUUUUUGAGUCCCUGAUGCAUACUAAAUACAGUCCUAGAACAAUAUGCUUAUGCAUAAUAACAAGCUGGAAAAUUGCUCCAAAAUAACACUUAAAACAUAUAAAAGAACAAAAAAAUCCAUUCUGAAUUCUAAAAUGAUCUUUCAAUGUAUGCAGCAAACUGCUUCCUUUAUAAUCUGACAAAACUCGCAGGACUUAUCAUGACGCAUGAAAGGAUAUAGUAAACCAUCACACCGAAGCCGAGGUUGGCUUUGUUUCCUUAUUUUUGCGAGAAGGUGUCAUAGUUCUACUAUUUUGAUUAGCCAUCUAGAGGGAUGACAGUGCAUGCAAUCAUUUAAAUAAAAUAAUACAAAGAUGCUGCAUGAGUCAUCAAUUCAAACAAGAACUUGUUUCAUGUGAUUUUUUGUGUAAAGUGGAAACAAAUUAUUUUUAUAACAACUAAUUCGACAACACAAGUGCUACACCGUGAUCAGUAUAUGCAUAUGAUACGAUCUAGCUAUUUUCCUUUGCACGGGUGGUUUUUAUCAUGAGGUAGGAGGGUUCGUACAAGUCGACUAUCAGCUCUCAUGCAAUGCUUUAAAAAGAAAAACGAGAGGAAUUUGUGAAUUUUUGUAUAACAUUGCAAAUUAUAUGAAAAAACUUUUUAAUUUGUCAGAACUUUUAGGAGGGAGUGAGUGGCAAAUGUUGGAAGACAUUCAAAGUUAGGAUGAUGGGAAUGCCUAUGGCAAUUUGGAGAACUUGGAGAAAACAUAUGCGAACUUGAGCUAGGUAGCAAUGUAGAGCUUAAUUAAGCUAAAUGGUUCAUAUUCAUUUGUUAGUCCAUGAGUUCGAGAUGAUGGACUCAACAAUUGGAUAGAUUUGGAGGGAACACGAAUUUGGAGUAGUGUGACAACAUAGCGAAGUAAUGACACAAUGGUCGAAGGGCUGAAGUUGAGGGGCUUGUGAUAGAUCCAUUUGUUGGCCCGUGGCUGCGCACGGGCGUUCUACUAGUAAUCAUUGGUGGCUUCUUUGACCACCAGACGGCUUAUUGACUUCUUCCACUCGAGGAUCACCGUGGAGCAAUCCUUCUUCCCCUUCCUACAGAAGCACGCCAACCACAAACAAAUGCUCAAAAAGACCUUAGCAAAUGCCAUUGAACUAGAUUGUAGGCAAGAGGAAUCUUAUUAGUUGGUAGAUGUAGAUGUCGAGGCCUCAUCAUUGCUUGCCAGAGGCCUCAUGUGUAUGUCGUGCGUCCCACCAGAGGCCUCUUUUAAUUAGAGGAAGGGCGGUGCGGAGAAGACAUCAUUAGUCACCCUGGGAGAAGAAAGUUCGGUGGCGGUGCGUGUAAAGAGGAGACUUUGGUAGUUUCUGGUGGAGUUGUGGUAGCCGUAGGGACGACGAGAGUGAGAGAGGACUGGGGACGGAGGAGAGGUGAUGGAUGGAAAAAAAUUGGGUGAUUGAGGACGAAAACCAAGAUGAAAANNNNNNNNNNNNNNNNNNNNNNNNNNNNNNNNNNNNNNNNNNNNNNNNNNNNNNNNNNNNNNNNNNNNNNNNNNNNNNNNNNNNNNNNNNNNNNNNNNNNNNNNNNNNNNNNNNNNNNNNNNNNNNNNNNNNNNNNNNNNNNNNNNNNNNNNNNNNNNNNNNNNNNNNNNNNNNNNNNNNNNNNNNNNNNNNNNNNNNNNNNNNNNNNNNNNNNNNNNACUAGAUGUCUCUGUAGUGAAGUAAUAUGAGCAUAACUUAAUUGAUCAGUGUAAAACUUUGAAUUGGUUAAGUAUACUACACUAAAGUAAGUUGUAAAGCCUAAUUGCAAUUAUAUCUUUGAGGGCAAUGCUUAUGAGUUGCGUGACAAUCUUGUCUGUUCUGGAUCUUGCAUCUGAUUCUAAUUAAACAGUACAUGUUAGAUGUUUUUAAUGAGGUCCACGUUAGAUUUGAUUGUUAAUUUAUAGUGCGGGUGAAAGCGGAUUCUAUCCUUUUCGUCUGCCAUUUUUCCUUUCAUAAAAUGUGUCCAUGGAGUAAUUCUCCACAAAAACAAACUUAACUGGACAAAAUAUCCACGGCAAGUCGCAUAUCUUGUGCAACUGUUCACUGUUGAAAGCUUAUUGUGCCACUACCCAUCAUUGCAAGGAAAAAAUACAGAAGAUUUAUGUUCUACCAAAUACAUUCUUUUGUUCAGAUUUAGCCAGGUAUGAUCCUGGUUGCGUCAGCCAUUAGAGUACAUUGCGAUCGACUAGACAGUUUCAGUGCUCAUCUUGCCUACUUUUGCAGCACUAGAUUUGCGAUCAGGUAGAUAAACACAACAACAAAGGAGACGACAGAUGCCAGCGGCCCAUAUUUCCCAAGAAUUCUCUGUGGGUUAAUUCCAUAAUACGGAUUGAAUUCUCUACUGGCACGGAAUCCAGCAACAAGGGCCACACCAUGCUGACACUAGCAGCUAUGUGUUGCUCCCGUGGGCAAGACCUGCCCAAGGAGGAUAGGUAAGAGAAAUGGCUGAAGACACACCAACACCUGGCAACAUGUAGGUUCAUAUUUCACCCCCACCCUUGGAUAAAACCGUGAAUCAUUUGAAACAUAUUAAAACUUGAGUGCAUUUUUUAUUUUGGAGAAAUAUAUAUGCUCACAAGAGCUUAGGAGUCACACGUCGGUUCUAGGUAAUUAAACAAACAAGAACAUUCACUUGUUGAGAAAUUUUACCACCUCUUCUUGCUUCUUUUAUGACACUAGAACUUGACGGGCUUUGGGUCACCUCCUUUUCGGUUUAUAAGGCUUGCGCGUAUCUCUAGGUUGACAAAUAGACCAACUUAAUACAAGUUGUAUAUCACAAAAAAUAUAUAAUUAGGAACUUCAAAUCGUAUACUUUCUAAUGGUAUAAUUUUUAGACUAUACAACUCAUGUUAUGUUGGUCAAGUUAUAGAUCCAGGGAUAUGUACAAGCCUUAUAAACCGGAAAGGAGGUAUGUUAGUAGAUAAACAUGCCAAUUAAGGACUUCUUGACAAGUCUAUGCAGAUUAAAGGUAUGUUAGUAGAUGGUGUAAUAAAUACAUGCUUUUAGCUAUCUAAGGAUACAAAUAUGCCACUAUUUACUUUGUAAAUGCUCGAAAUCAUUCUCAGAAAUUUUAGUAACAACAGUUGUCAUGAACAACUUGGACUAAAUGCAUCAAAUGUUACAAAUAAUACAUAAAAACAUUCAAAUGUACUUAGAGUGAAUCAAUUAAGACGUGUAAAGCUAGUACUAAUCCAAUAUUUCUUAAUGACUUGCAUAUACUUACAACACUUGACGUAAAGAGUGAAUCAAUUAAGACGUGCAAAGCCAGUACUAAUCCAAUUUUAUUAAUAGCUUCCACAAAAUUACAACACGUGGCGUAAAAAGGGAAUAUGAUGAGUCAUGUAUUGAUAACGUGUACAACAUUACUACCCUUGACAUAAAAAGAGAAGUUGAUGAGUCAUGUCUUAAUAACGUGUACAACAUUACUAUCAGCUUGUUCAUCUUACCAUCAUACUAUACAACACUAUAAGUUAGUUUAAAAAAGAAUAAGAGUCCAGAACAAACAUCACAAUACUAGCCUGAUCUAUAUUAACAACAUGCACAAGGACACAAAUUUAGUUCCCCGCAAGCUAUGAAGAUUUGGUUUAUGUCUAACAACUUGUACAAUAUGACAAACUUAGAUCCAAAAGGAAUGCAAACCAGAUAAUUGUAAUGCAAUCCAGAUAAUUAUUUGACAUGCAAAGUGAAUAAGAUGAGUCACUACCAAUUAUCAAGUUUUCCUCACUCUUAGAUGAUAUGAACCAUAAAAAGGCAACUUUGAUGAUCACUCCAUAAUUACGUUUGUAUGUAGUGCCACCAAACACAACACACAAAAUAAUUAGUUCGAUAAGCAUCGAAUCACUUUAAAAAGGAAAGCAAAAAUGGAAAGAAACCUAACCAUGGGAGCUAUAAAAAGGCCUGCAAUAUGUAGACUCCAUACCAUCAUCCAUCCUUCACACAACUAGAGCACAAGUAUCAAAUCCAAGUACGUAGUGGUUAACGCAAAUUAACCAUGAAGACCUUACUCAUCCUAACAAUCCUUGUGAUGGCAGUAACCAUCGGCACCGCCAAUAUGCAGGUCGACCCUAGCGGCCAAGUACAAUGGCCACAACAACAACCAGUCCUGCUGCCUCAGCAACCAUUCUCCCAGCAACCACAACAAACAUUUCCCCAACCCCAACAAACAUUCCCCCAUCAACCACAACAACAAUUUCCCCAGCCUCAACAACCACAACAACAAUUUCUCCAGCCACAACAACCAUUCCCCCAACAACCACAACAACCAUAUCCCCAGCAACCACAACAACCAUUCCCCCAGACUCAACAACCCCAACAACUAUUUCCCCAGUCCCAGCAACCACAACAACCAUAUCCCCAGCAACCACAACAACCAUUCCCCCAGACUCAACAACCCCAACAACAAUUUCCCCAAUCCCAGCAACCACAAUAACCAUUUCCCCAACCCCAACAACCGCAACAAUCAUUCCCCCAGCAACAACCAUCGUUCAUUCAGCCAUCUCUACAACAACAGCUGAACCCAUGCAAGAAUUUACUCUUGCAGCAAUGCAGACCUGUGUCAUUGGUCUCAUCCCUCUGGUCAAUGAUCUGGCCACAAAGCGCUUGCCAAGUGAUGAGGCAACAAUGCUGCCAACAACUAGCACAGAUUCCUCAGCAGCUCCAGUGUGCAGCCAUCCAUAGCGUCGUGCAUUCCAUCAGCAUGUAGCAAGAACAACAACAACAACAACAACAACAACAACAACAACAACAACAACAACAACAACAACAACAACAACAACAACAACAACAACAACAACAACAACAAGGCAUGCGUAUCCUGCUGCCACUAUAUCAGCAACAACAGGUGGGUCAAGGUACUCUCGUCCAGGGCCAGGGCAUCAUCCAACCCCAACAACCAGCUCAAUUGGAGGCGAUCAGGUCAUUGGUGUUGCAAACUCUUCCAACCAUGUGCAACGUGUAUGUCCCACCUGAGUGCUCUAUCAUCAAGGCACCAUUUGCCAGCAUAGUCACCGGAAUUGGUGGCCAAUGAAAAACGCAAGAGCCAUACUAAUAGGUAGAUGGAUCAUCGUUGCUUAGCUGAUUUACCAAUCGAUGUAACGAUGCCAAAUAAACUGGUGUGCACCAUCAUGUGUCAUCCUGACCAGUGCUAGUUCAAGAUUGGGAAUAAAAGAGAAGAACGUUCAUGUUUGCCAACAUUGCUUGUCAUUGUUCCAUUCACUGUGUAUUUAUAUUUUCAUCCUGAACUGCAAUUCUAGUCUUACACAUCAAUAGCUAGUUGCUCAUGUCGGCAGGUUCCUAUGUAAUCUAAUGAUUAAUGGUCGACCUAUUAAUCUAGUUUAUCGGCCGAUUGAUCUAUUAAUUGGUGCUCCCAAGCCGACCGAGCAGCCAUCAGUUACCGAUUUCCUGAACAUUGCACACAAUAAUAAUUCAACGUAUUUCAAUGUCUAGAAGUAAAAGGGCCAUAUAAGCAGUAAAACAAGCGCCUGAUUAGAAACCAUCCAUCACUUUAAAUUAAUCUAGAUAUUUUUGUGUUGGUGCAAUUUUGAGUUGAUGGCACCGACACAUUCUUGAAAGAAAUUCUACAGGGAACUCCAAAGAGGUGAAAAUCAAACUAAAGUUGCCACAUGGUAAAAGAUAAAUCAUGCGGCAAGCAAGAGGAAAUAUUGAGUCACAAUAGCUAGCGCCAAACAUGUAAUUAAACUAUUCUUAUGGUUUCUUGCAAAGAGGGAAGUAAUUUACAGAUGACAAACAAAACGUAAUUAGCAUUAGUUCUAAUUGAUUGUAGAAAUUUCUUUUAUCGGUAGAAUAACUCAGUUGUUAUUUAUUUAAACAUGCACUGUGAUAUUGACUUAUCUCAAUCUAGGAACACAAAGCAAAUACUACAUUUGCUGCUAUGGACUCCAAACAGAUGAGAAAUCAUUAUGUGUAGAAGUUCCUUAGAAGGAUAUUUUGGCCUAAACAAAUUUAACAUUGUACUCGUGUCUUACAUAGUUAAAGCUGAAAAAUCAACAUAACCAGUGGACACUUUGUAAGACAAGUGUGGGAAACAAAUAGUAGGAUAUAAAUUUGAGUAGAAUGUUUGCUCAAAUGUUGAAAAAAUAACCCAGCAAACUAAAACUCAGCAAAACAGUCUAUUCUACCUUAUACGGACUGUCACAAUGAUAAUGCUAUGUUUUUUUGGAAUACAAAUUCAAAAAAAAUCAGCCACAGAUCCCUGAGCCCAUCCAACAGGAGAGCUUCAAUUGAAAGAAGUAUUAGUUCGAUUAGACCAUGUAGUACCUAAAGGAGGAUGGUGGCCCCAUGGAACAACUCCAGCCUUUCCAUUGUGUCCGGGCGCAAUGCGAUAAUGGAGUUAUGGUCAUUGGUGGCUUCGCUGGCCAUAGACGGCUUAUUGACUUCUUCCACUUGAGGAUCACCGUGAACCAGUCCUUCUUCCCCAUCCUACAUAAGCAUGCCAACCACAAAUAAAUGCUCAAAAAGACCAUCUUAAAUGUCAUUGAACCGGAUUAUGGGAGGCAGAAUCUUAUGACUCGGUGGAUGCAGAUAUCGAGGCCUCAUUUGUAUGUUGUGCCUCCCACCAGAGGUGUCUUCUAAUUAGAGUGGUGCGAGAAGACAAUAUAAGCCACCGUGCAAGCGAAACAAUUAGGAGGCACUGCUUGUAAAGCGGAGAAUUUGGCACUGUCUGGUGGCAUUGCGGUAGCCGCAGGGUGGAAGAGAGAGAGGGAGGGAGGGAGGGAGGAUGAAUCGGAAAACCAGGAGCAGGGGUGAUCAACGAUGAAAACCAAGAUGAAAAAACAAUGUGCAAGAGAGGAAGAGGAAUAGGCUAGCUAUUUCUGUAGUGAAGUAAUAUGAGCAUAACUUAACCCAUAGGUGUGGAACUUGGAUUCGGUUGAAGUAUAUACUAUACUAAAGUAAGCUGACUAAUUGCAAUUUAAAUCUUUGGUGGCAAUGCUUAUGAGUUGUGAGGCCAUCUUGACUAUUCUGGAUCUUGCAUAUGAUUCUAAUUAAACAGUAUAUGUCAGAUGUUUUUAAAGAGGCACACAUUAUAUUUGAUUGUUGAUUUACACAUUCUAAUUAAACAUUAUAUGUCAGAUGUUUCUAAUGAGGCCCACGUUAGAUUUGUAUGUUGAUUUACAAAGGGAUUGAUAAGUUGAUUCUAUCCUUUUUCCUCUGCCAUUCUUCCUUUCAUAAAAUGUGUCCAUCGAGUAAUUAUCCACAAUAACAAACAUGACUAGACAAAAUAUCCACGACAAGUUGCAUAUCUUGUGCAACUGUUCACUGGUGAAAGGCUAUUGUGCCACUAUCCAUCAUUGCAAGGAAAAAACACAAAAGAUUUAUGUUCUAUCAAAUAUAUUAUUUUGUUUGGAUUUAGCCAGGUAAGAUCCUGGUUGCGUCGGCCAUUAGAGUACCUUGCGAUCGACUAGACAGUUUCAGCAUAUCUUCUUGCCUCCUUUUGCAUCACUAGAUUUCGAUGGGCUUGCGAACAGGAAGAUAAACACGGCAACAAAGGAGACGAGAGAUGCCAGUGAUCCAUAUUUCCAAAUAAUUCUCUGCAAGUGAAUUCCAAAGAAUGCAUUGAAUUUUGUGCUGGCGUAGAAUCCAGCAGCAAGGGAAACACCAUGCUGACGCUAGGAGCUACGUGCUGCUACCGCGAGCUCCCAUGGCAAGACCUGCCCAGGGAGGACCGGCAAGAGAAACGGCUGAAGACACACCAAGACCCGGCAACAUGUAGGUUCAUAUUUCACCCCCACCCUCAGAUAAAAAUGUGAAUCAUUUCAAACAUAUUAAAACUUGAGUGGAUUUUUUUAUUUCGGAAAAAUAUGCCCACAAGAGCUCAGGAGUCAACGUCAGUUCUAGGUAAUUAAACAAACAAGAAGAUUGACUUGUUGAGCAAUUUUACUACAUUUUCUUGCUUCCUUUUACGACACUAGAACUUGAUGGACUUCCGGUCAGCUAGAUAAACAUGCCAAUAAAGGACUUCUUGACAAGUCUGUGCAGAUUAAAGGUAUGUUAGUAGGUGGUGUAAUAACACAUGAUUUUAGCUAUCUAAGGAUACAAAUAUGCCACUAUUUAUUUUGUAAAUGCUGGAAAUCAUUGUCGGAAAUCUUAGUAACAACAGUUGUCAUGAACAACUUCGACUAAAUGCAUCAAAUGUUAGGAAUAAUACAUACUAACUUAGUUCAAUAAAUUAACCUAUUGAAGCAAGAAAAGAAACCUUGAAAUGUACUUAGAGUGAAUCAAUUAAGACAUGCAAAGCCAGUACUAAUCCAGUUUUAUUAAUAACUUCCACAAAAUUACAACACGUGACGUAAAAAGGGAAUAUGAUAGGUCAUGUAUUGAUAACGUGUACAACAUUACUACCCUUGACAUAAAAAGAGAAGUUGAUGAGUCAUGUCUCAAUAACGUGUACAACAUUACUAUCAGCUUGUUCAUCUUACCAUCAUACUAUACAACACUACGAGUUAGUUUAAAAAGGAAUAAGAGUUCAGAAUGAACAUGACAGUACUAGCCUAAUCUAUCUUAACAACAUGCACAAGGACACAAAGUUUGUCUGCCACAAGAUAUGAAGAUUUGGUUUAUGUCUAACAACUUGUAUAACAUGACAAACUUAGAUCCAAAGGGAACACAAUCCAUAUAAUUGUUUGACAUGUAAAGUGAAUAAGAUGAGUCAGUGCCAAUUAUCAAGUUUUCCUCACUCUUAGAUAAUAUGAGUAGCAAAAAGGCAACUUUGAUGAUCACUCCAAAAUUACGAUUGUAUGCCGUGCCACCAAACACAACACACCAAAAAAUUAGUUCGAUAAGCAUUGAAUCACUUUAAAAAAGGAAAGCAGUGAUGAAAAGAAACCUAGCCAUGGUGGCUAUAAAAAGGCCUGCAAUAUGUGAGCUCCAUACCAUCAUCCAUCCUUCACACAACUAGAGCACAAGCAUCAAAUCCAAGUAGGUAGUAGUUAACGCAAAUCCACCAUGAAGACCUUACUCAUCCUGACAAUCCUUGCGAUGGCAAUAACCAUCGCCACCGCCAAUAUGCAGGCCGACCCUAGCGGCCAAGUACAAUGGCCGCAACAACAACCAUUCCUGCAGCCUCACCAACCAUUCUCCCAGCAACCACAACAAAUAUUUCCCCAACCCCAACAAACAUUCCCCCAUCAACCACAACAACAAUUUCCCCAGCCUCAGCAACCACAACAACAAUUUCUCCAGCCCCGACAACCAUUCCCCCAACAACCACAACAACCAUAUCCCCAGCAACCACAACAACCGUUCCCCCAGACUCAACAACCCCAACAACCAUUUCCCCAGUCCAAGCAACCACAACAACCUUUUCCCCAGCCCCAACAACCGCAACAAUCAUUCCCCCAACAACAACCAUCGUUGAUUCAACAAUCUCUACAACAACAGUUGAACCCAUGCAAGAAUUUCCUCUUGCAGCAAUGCAAAC